rnacentral:lncRNA from 1 species
UUCCAAAUCGAUCAACCAUGAAGCCAACCCUAGUUCUUGCUCUCUCUUUCCUCCUUCCCCUCCUUGCUUUCUUCACCAACCUUCCCUUAGCUUUCUCAGAUGAUGUUGAACAAGUUGUGGACAUAUAUCAGAACCCCAUUUUCCCAGGUUUUUCAUACAACAUCGUCCCAGCAAUCCGUGGUCCACCUGGUGGUGGAUUGAAACUUGCCCAAACUGGAAACUCAGAGUGCCCUCUUACUGUUCUGCAAGAUUACUUAGAAGUCUUCCGUGGCCUCCCUGUGAAAUUCACCAUUCCCGGAAUCAGCCCUGGAAUCAUCUUCACAGGUACUAAUCAAUACUUAAUUGUCAUUAAUUAAAAAUAAAACCCAUUUUAUAAUAUAUAAUAUCGCCGAUUUUGUGAGAUUCAACUAGGCUUAAAGUUCACUUCUUAAUAUGGUAUCAUAGUUAUGAUUAGAGUUUAUCUUAACGAUAUUUAUUAUUUGUUGAACAUGUUGUUUCACCUGUUAUCGGGUCGUUAUUAGGUCACCCAUUAAUGUCUAGUCUCACACUCUAUUUAUACUUCGACGUAAGGAUUGUGUUAGAAGUGUCACAUCAAUUAAAGAUAAGAUAAAAACCAAUUUAUAAUAUAUACCUGAACGUAAACCCAAUCUUGUUUUAUAACAUUGAAAUAGGUUUAAAAUCGGUUUCUUUAACAAAUUUCGUAUAAAUUAUUUUCUCUUACUAAUUUCAAGUUUUGGAAACAUCCCUAUAGGUACCGAACUGGACAUCGAGUUCGUACAGAAGCCAUGGUGUGCAAAAUCCUCCAAGUGGUCUGUGUUCGUGGACGAAUCAAUCCAGAAGGCAUGUGUGGGAAUUGGUGGUGCCGAAGGCCAUCCAGGGCAAUCAACUUAUGGUGGCAAAUUUCACAUUGAGAAAUACAACUUUGGGUACAAGCUUGUGUUCUGCAUCACUGGCUCACAAACUUGCUUGGAUAUUGGGAGAUUUGAUGCCAAGAACGGCGAGGAAGGAAGACGCUUGAUUACCACUGAGCAUGAAGCAUUCGAUAUUGUGUUCGUACCAGCUUUUGAAGCUGAUAAGGUUAUUAAGUCCGUAGCUUGAAUCAAAUAUCUCUAAUUAAUAAGAUUUUAGUUAAUGCAAUCAUUUCUUUUGAUUUGCAUUACCUAAGAGAAUCUAUUCCAAAACUGAAUAAGAGAGUUAAUUGCUAACUUUCUUGCGUGAUAUCUUUCUCUCUUUCAUCUCUUUCAAACUUCAAUGAAAGACAUUAAAAAAAUUUAGGUUUAAUAUUAUGAGAAGCCCACACAAGUCCAUGCACUACAAAAAUUUACAAUUUUUUUAGGGUUAUUUUUUUAUUUCCGACGGUGUUAACUUCCAAAUAAUCAUUACCCGUGGUUUGAAAAACUAUUGAAAAAAACUGUUUCGCUAAAUAAUAAUCGACAACUUUUAAAAAAAUCGUCAGUAUUAGCGUGAGCUUGGAGAAAACCGUCAAUAUUAAUGGGGUUUUGGAAAAACCACCGGUAAUAAUGGUGAUUUCUCAAAACUCACUGAUAUUUGCAGAGGUUUCUCAAAAACUAUCUAUAUUUCCAGGAGUUUUGAAGAAACCGUCAAUAUAAUCAGAGAUUUCUAAAAAUCUGUCAAUAUUUACAAAAAUUAUAGAAAAACCGUCAGAAAUGUGUGCAGAAGUUUUUGAUUAUUGAUUAAAUGAAAUUAUGAUCAAAUUAUUUUAAUAACCACAGUGAAAUAAUAAGAACUAAAGCUGAAUAUUAUAUGUAAAAUAAAUUACAUUAUUCAAUAUAUUAAUAUAAUUCAUAUAUUUAAUUUUUUUUUCAUAAAUAAAAAUUAAAAAGAAAAAUAUUCAAUACUAAAUUAAAAUAUUAAAAAUAUGACCGAGAAAGAUGUUCAUUAAGAAUCUUGAUUUUGAUACAUAAAGUUCAUAAUAAUGAAUUCAGUUGCACAAAAUUUUUCAAAAUCCAUCUUUCUAUAUUGUAAUGAAUUCAACUGUCAUAAAAAAGAAAUAUAAAGAUGUAAGAUUGAAAUAAAUCAAAUUAAGUGAUAUAUCUAUAUACACAGAACAAAAUAGUUUUACUGAAAAAAGAAAGUCAGGGAUGCGAGACUCUUUCAUGGCAUAUGUUUUCUACCAAAAUAAUAGGUUUCUGGAAGCAUGUUGACACCAUUAUUAAAUUCAAUUCACAUAAAUAUAAUAAAAUUAGUUUCUUUGUCGUAAAUAGAAUUGAUAAUGAUAGAUAUAUCUUUUAUGGUUCAAAAAUCCUACUCCUAUUUGUUAAAUUCGAUUAAAUUUGUGCACUUGUCAAAAUAGAUUAAUAUUGAUUAAAUAAUUAUCAUAGUUAUCUAUUUACUUAAUUUAAAUUGUAGUUCGAGUUUGAAAACCAAAUAAAAAUUGAGUAUAUUUAUAAUUCAGUUAUAAUUCUAAUUAUUCAAAUAGUUAUUUCUAUUAUAUAUAAAAUAAAGUCCAACUUCAUACUAUUUGUUAUCUCUAGUUUAUCAAUACUAACAACUUUUAUAUAUAUUUAUAUAUAUAUAAACAUCAUCUGCAAAAUGUUUUCCUACUCUUCAUCCAAAUUCAUAAAAGUCACAAAAACAUGUAAAAAGGUUUUCAGUAACUCACUCACAUUCUCACCCUGUUCAAUUGAUUGAGUAAUCAAAUUAUGAUGGCAAUUCAAAUUUGGAAUUUAAAUAUUCUCCAAAUUAUAUCAUAAAUUUGUGUUCAAUUUUCAAGUCUAGCACAUGAACUCAAAACAUUCUAUGAAAAGAUAUAUAAAUUAGUCUUACGUCAUUUAAAAUUAGUCUAAAAAAGGGAGAUAGCUUGAGAGUUAUCACAAAUACAGUUUGGGUGGUAGAUCUUUCUUCACCACAUUCAUGUCGAUUCUUUGAACAAAGCCUUUUAACUCUUCAUAGAGGAUAUGAGACCUCUGGUUCAUAAUUUUCACAUCUGUCAUAGUUGAAUUGAUGUGUUGUCCAUUCUCUAUAGGGUUUUGGAAGCUGCAAAUUAAAACAUUUGGUUAGACACAUUCUUUAAUAUGAUUCAUCGCUAAACGAUACAUGCAUUAUCUAUAUAAAAAUUUGUCAAUAAAUAAGAUAUGUAUUACCUACAAAAAAAAUUUGUGAAUAAAGUGAUCGAUAAUGUAUAUUUCAUUUAUUAGUGAAAAAAUUUGUUUGUAAAUGAGAUAUACAUUACUUACAUAAAAAGUUCAUCAAUAAAUUCGUUGAUAAUGAAACGUGCAUUAUUUAUAGAAAAAUCCGUCGAUAAAUUAGAUAUGUAUUACUUCCGAAAAAAUCUAUUGAUAAAAUGGGUGAGAAUUUUGCCACAUAUAUUUUAUUUAUCGACAGAUUUUUUUCGUCUGUAAAUCAAAUAUACAUUGAAAAAUUCGUUCGGUAAAAUGAGUGAGAAUUUUUCUGGUCAUUUUUUCCUCUGCUAAUGAGAGAGAAACAUUAUAUAUUUUUCACUUUCUCACAGAUGUUCAUCUUUAGUGCACGAAGCAGCUUCAUCUUCCCCGUCUUCUUCCUCUCAACUCCACCACAACAGCUACAAGCCUUCAUCUUCGUUCAAUCGGGUUGUCGUCUCUGUUCAUCCUUGCUAUCGUCUUCGUUCAGUCAGGUUGCCAUCUCCGUUCAGUCAGUUUGUCAUCUUUAUUCAGCUAGGUCACCACCAUCUCUAUUCAGAUAGUCAUCUUAAAUAUAUUUCAAAUUCAGAUGUUACACAUAUUUAUAUGAGUAGUGAAUAAUUGAUUAUGAACUAUAAAUAAUCAAUUGUUGUAAAUUAUUUUGUUGAAACUAAACUUUUCCUAAUUAGUUGAUUAUUUGAGGCAACGAUUGAUUAUGUUAUAUGCUUCUUUCAAGAAAAACAUCACAUUCUCUAAUUAUCUAUUAUGUUUAAUUAUGUUGAUUCAAAAUUGUUAAUAGGUUACAUGAAAAACAUAUAUAUUAACAUAAUAUGAUUAAGUAUAACAGAUUAUAUUAAUUAGUAACCUCAACACUCUUUUAAAAGAAAAAUUCUCUCUCGUUUAUUUUAUGAAUGAGAUAUUAAAAAACUAUUCUAGAUUUACGAAGGGAAAGUGAUUAUACUAUUGAUUUUUGUUUUAAUUUUUUUUAACUUUUCCUAAUUAAAAAAUAAUAAUUGUUUAUAUCUUAUGACAAUAAUAUUAUAUAUUAAUAUUAAUAUCACGUGUAAUUUAAUUCUAUUUUUUAAAUAAUUUUGAUCAUUUAUAAAUUGAGAUUAAAUUUAAUUUUUAUAUAAAUAUUAUAUUGAUAUUUAUAUUAAAAUUACAUCAAUUUUUAAAAAUAUUGAAAUUUAAUUGAGACAAAAAUAUUAAAGACUAAUUUGAAAUAUCUUUGACGAAAAUUAAAAUAAAAAUAUAUUUAAACCUGAAAAAAAUAUACAUUAAUUAUUAGAUAAAUAGAUGAUUUAGUACAAUAAAGAUUAAAUAAUUUUUUUUCGAUUAAAUAAAAAUGAAACAUGCUAUUCUUGUUAUAUUAAACUAAUUAUUUAUUAGUGGUUAAUUAUUUUACAAUUAGAACGUUUUUGAAGAAUUUGUUUUGAAGUCAAAAUUUAUUACAUAACUGCAUAUACAUUCAUUUGAUAUUAAAAAAAUGCAUUAAUAACAUAUUAAUGCAUGGAAUUAUGAAAUACAAUUGAUUGAUUUCAUUUCAAAUCAAAUCCUUAGAAGAAUGAUUCGUAAAUAAUCUAUGUGUAACCUCCAAAAUAGAAAUUGUUUCAAACUAUGAAAUAAUAUGUAACAGCAACUAAACAAAUACGAUAAUAUAAUAAUUUCACACAGAAAAAUGAAAUAAGAGUCAUUCAAUUAAGAAAUAUAAUUUUUUUAAUAUUCAAUAAACUAUACAAAUUUAUUAAGUACUGAAUUUAGCAUAUAGAAAUUUAGGGGAGACUCUAAACUUCAUGAAAAGAAACUCUAUAAAUAAAUACCUUACUCUAUCCAUGUUUUAAAAAUCACUUUUCUUCUUUCUCUACCAUCUCUCCACCACCAUUCUCUCUUUCUUUUUUGGUUUAAUCAUUUAGAUUGUCCCUAUUUAUGUUGGAUUUUCUCAGUAUUUUAAAACGUCUUAAUUAAGUCCCUAUUUUUGUAAGAUUGAAUCAAUUAAGGGUUUGCCGUUAACUUAACUAAACGAUGUUAAAAUUGACUGGGGUGGCAUGCUGACAGUUUAUACUGUUUUCUCACAAUUUUUAAUUAAAUUGAGUGUGAGUGUCAGCCCUGAGAAAACAGAGGCUCGAGAUUUCUCUCCCUCUCGAAGGGUUAGUCCCUCUUGAACCCACGCACACCACUGCCUCAGUCAACCGGAAUCGCCACCGCAACGGCCCUCCCGGUUUGUCCAAAGAGUCACCGGCGGCCUUCGCCGGCCACAACGUUUUCCCCCUUUCUCCCUCUCGCUCCGAUAACCAUAGAAGCCCCCCAUCUUCGCCGGCAGCCACGAGCCACUCUCGCCUCCAUCCAACUGAUCCAGCCACCGCGACGGAUCCCCCUCUGUCCAAGGCGUCGCCAGCGAACACUGCCGGCCACGACAUUUAACCAUUCCUGGCUCCUCUCUGCACGCAAGGAGGAGGCGCCCUCGCCGUUCAUGAUGUGCCCAGUCGUCGUCGAAAUGAGCCACCACCACAGAAUCACCCUCAAGCCCUAGAAUCCCGUCGCCUAACGUCAUCGCAAACACCACCCAGACCGCCACUCUCAAAUCUUGUCACCUCCACUAGUCAGGGCCGUCAUUUGCCUUCUCAUGGCCUUGGACGAUUUACAGGUUGGAUGAUGGUAUGAUGCGAGAGCUGGUUCAGUGCAGGUAGGAUACAAGCUUGUGCGUGGGGCUAGAAAUUGAUUUUGGUUCUUGGUGAUUGGUUUUAUUUUUGUGGAUUUGUGUAGUGCAGGUCAAGCAAGAUGGUGUGAUGCGUGAGUUACGAUGGAGGUUCUAACGGAGUGAUUCUGGUGAAGAUGGACAUACUGGUUCUGGUUCUGAUGUUUUCUUUUUUCUGCUUUGUUUCUCUAGUGAGGAUAUAGCUUAAAAACAAAGGGGAGGUUUUUGAAGUGGAUUAAAAGCAGAAGGAAUUUUCAUGGCUCAUUGUGCUCAGGAGAAUAGGAUGAAGGAGAGCAAUACAUAAUAGAAAAUGGAAGACUCCUAAUAUGAGAAAAUGGAACAAUGAAAUUUUAUUAAAAGAAAUGUGACAAAACCAAGUCAGCUCACCGUAAACUGACACCUAAGCCAAGUUUGGAUGUCAUGCAUAUUCAAUUUUAAUACCGUUUAUUCAAUUUAACGGCAAAUCCUUAAUUGACUCAAUUUUGCAAAAAUAAGAACUUAAUUGAGACAUUUUAAAAUAUUGGGACCUAAUUGAGAAAACUUAACAUAAAUAAGGACAUUCUAAAUGAUUAAACCUUCUUUUUUAAGAUCUUUCUUUUUCCACCAUCUAUUUAAAACAUUGUUAAAUAAUGUUUUUACCUCUUUGUGAAAUGAGACUAUCGACUCAUUCUAGUGAUAUUAUAAUAUUAUUUUAAAUUAAAAUAUCAACUUGUUGUGAAUGUCUCUCUUUCACAAUUAAGAAAGAAACAUUAAAAUAAUUUACCCACUUGUUGUGAAUGUCUCUCUUUCACAAAUGAACCUUUGUUGCUAUGUCCAUUCAUAACAUAUCCUUCCACAACUUCCACAUUUGUUGCUGCCACAUGUUUCUAUUCCGAGCUCUGCAUACCUACCAUUUAUUAUCUUAUGAUUUUUGAAGUAGAAACACGUGCUGCUAUAGCACCAUCUUUGGUUCUAUAUAAAGAACCAAAAAGCAGUACUCCAAAACAUCUCCAACAACACCUUCCAAAUCGAUCAACCAUGAAGCCAACCGUAGUUCUUGCUCUCUCUUUCCUCCUUCCCCUCCUUGCUUUCUUCACCAACAUUCCCUUAGCUUUCUCAGAUGAUGUUGAACAAGUUGUGGACAUAUAUGGGAACCCCAUUUACCCAGGUUUUUCAUACUACAUCAUCCCAGCACUCCGUGGUCCAGGUGGUGGUGGAUUGAAACUUGCCCAAACUGGAAACUCAGAGUGCUCUCUUACUAUCCUGCAAGAUUACUCUGAAGUCUUCCGUGGCCUUCCUGUGCAAUUCACCAUUCCCGGAAUCAGUCCUGGAAUCAUCUUCACAGGUACUAAUUAAAACUUAAUUGUCAUGAAUUGAAUUGUUAGAAGUUUCAAGUGGAUUAAAAGUAAAACCAAUUUAUAAUAUAUAAUAUAACGCUGAUUUUGUGAGAUUGAGUCAAGUUUAAAGUUCACUCCUUAAUAUGGUAUCAUAGUAAUGAUUAGAGUCUAUCUUAAGAUAUUUGUUGUUUAUUGAACAUUUUGUUCGACCUGUUAUCGGAUCAUUAUUCGACCACUUAUUAAUAUCUAGUCUCACGCUUUGUUUAUACGUUGGACGUAAAGAGUGUGUUGAGAGUGUGACAUCAAUUAAUGAUAAGAUAAAAUUAAUUUGUAAUAUAUAAAUGAAUGUGGACCUCGUCUUAUUAGAGACCGGUUUUAUAAUAUUGAAAUAGGUUUGAAAUUGACUUAUAAAAUUUCGUAUAAAUUAUCUUCUGUUACUAAUUUCAAGUUUUGGAAACAUCCCUAUAGGUACCGAACUGGAGAUCGAGUUCGUAGAGAAGCCAUGGUGUGCAAAAUCCUCCAAGUGGUCGUUGUUCAUAGAUGUAUCAAUCGGGAAGGCAUGUUUGGGAAUUGGUGGUGCCGAAGGCCAUCCAGGGCAAUCAACUUAUGAUGGCAAAUUUCACAUUAAGAAAUACAUAUUUGGGUACAAGCUUGUGUUCUGCCUCGAUGCCACAAAAGCUUGCUUGGAUAUUGGGAGAUUUGAUGCCAAGAACGGCGAGGAAGGAAGACGCUUGAAUACGACUCAGGAUGAAGCAUUCGAUAUUGUGUUCGUACCAGCUUUUAAAGCUGAUAAGGUUAUUAAGUCUGUAGCUUGAGUCAAAUAUCUCUAGUUAAUCAGAUUUUAGUUAAUGCAUAUGUUGUUGUUUUGAAAGUGCUGUGCCCUUACUGUUUGAUUAUUUAUACAUUGGUCAUAUAUAUAUAUAUAUAUAUAUAUAUAUAUAUAUAUAUAUAUUAUUUUACAUUGUUACUUAAUGGAAAGUGACUCUCAAAUUUAAACUAUUACGUUAUAAAAAUUAAGGAAAAUGAUAUUUUUACACCAAUUUUUGACACUAUUUUGACACUGCACACGUGUCAAAACAUGGUUGGACGAUAUUAAAUUAAAAAAACUGAAACAAGGACAUAUUUGGAAGAAAAAAACCAAACUUUUUUUUUUAAUUUGAAAUCAUCCAACCACGUUUUGACACGUGUACAGUAUCAAAAUGGUGUCAAAAAAUUGGUGUCAAAAUAUCAUUUUUCAAAAAUUAAAUCAAAAUGUGAAAGAAUGUGUGAGUUCUAUUUUAAUUGAAAAUAUGUAUAUGUCAGAAUUUCUCUUCAAGAACUUUUAGGAAGAAAAAAAAAAUGAAAUUAGUAUCUCAAUAAAUUAAAAAUAAUUUAUUAAUAAAUUAAUCUAUUGACAUUAUUUUACGUAGCUUCUUAAGAGUUAUUUUUAACUUACGUAUGAUGCCAUUUUAGUUUAUGAAAAACUUUAUGUAUUUUUAUUUUUUUUAUCUUAAAAGUUGUUAAGGAGAAACUCGUAUUACUAUAAAGACUCCUAUUACAUAUUUAGACAGAAUAUACGAUUUAAUGUGCGAAAGUUUUAGUGGAAUAAACAGUCAAUUAACAUAACAUGGUAGGGAUUAUCAACCGAAUACAUUUCCUACUCACGGUUAUACCUACAAACAUCAAAGCAUUUUUUUUUAAUCAACAAAGAAUAAAUAUAAUUAUAUUGGAUCACUUGGUUGCUCUAUCCCAUUUACAUAAUAUAUGUUAGUAUUUUAAUCUGAAUAUCUCCCAACUGUAAUAACUGUCCUCUGACAGUUAUUCUCAUUCUUUAGUUUUACUCUUUAAAUACUUCUUUUGUACUCUCUAUUUCAAUUUUCUUCAAUAAGAAUAACUCUCAUUUUCUUCAAACUCUCUUACACUCUGUAUUCUCUCCUCUGCAUAAUUGCUUCUCUGCAUAAUUCUUCCAAACUGUAACAUUGGUAUCAGGAGCUAGGAAAUUCGGUGAAGACAGCUCAAGUCAUUUCAAGAAGAAAAGUGUUCGUGAGUAAUGGCUGGAAUGAUGCACAGCAACCUACCUGUUUUCGAUGGCAAAGGAUUCGAUGAUUGGUGUAUUAAGAUGGACGCGAUCCUCGGCUUUCAAGAGGUAGAUGAAAUUGUAAGAAAAGGUUUUAAAGAACCUGUCAAGGAUGAUUCAGAAGCAGCCAAGAAGCUAUACAAGGAAAACAAGAAGUUGGAUUGCAAAGCAAGAAUGUUGUUGCAUCAGUGCAUAUCGGCAACAAUUUUUCAGAAAGUCUCAAAGGCUACUACGGCGAAGGAGAUUUGGGAUAUCUUGCAAGAUGGUUAUGGCAAUUCUGGAAAGGUCAAGAAGACAAGAUUACAGUCAUUGCAGAGACAGUAUGAACUUCUCGCCAUGAAGGAGCAAGAAACAGUGGUCGAAUACAUUGGUAGACUUCAAUUGAUUGUGAAUGCAAUGAGAGCGUGUGAUAAGAUUGUCAAAGACAAGAAAAUUGUAGAGAAAAUACUCAGAACCCUAACCCCUCAAUUUGAUCAUAUAGCUUUGACCAUAGAAGAAACUAAAGAUCUCGAGAAGUUGAAGGUGGAGGAAUUGCAGAAUUCUUUAGAAGCGCAUGAGCAAAGAUUAAUCGAAAGGAGAAAUGUUGAAAAAGGCGAAAAUCAAGGCGUGAGUCAAGCAUUACAAGCCAGAAAUGAUUACAAACCCAGAGGCCGUGGGAGAGGCAGAGGUCGAUCAAGAGGAGGACGCAAUGGUGGUAGAGGCAUGAAACCAUCAGAUCAAAGUAAUGAAGAUAAUGGAGGUGAACAAAAGAAUGGAAGUGGUCGAGGAGGUCGACACUCGAGAGGCAGAGGCAGAAAGGGUUAUGACAAAAGGAGUAUCCAGUGCUUCACUUGCAGCAAAUACGGCCAUUAUUCCACGGAGUGUUGGCAUAAUGAAGAUUCGAAGGGAACCAAGAAUGGAGGGUCAGCCAAUCUUGCACAAGAAACUGAAGAAUCAGAGUCUGAUCAUAUUGUGUUAAUGAGCACAAUUGAAAGAUUCGAAAAAGGGCAAUGUAAGAAAUUGACGUUGAACGGGAUUAAGCAAGAAAUGAUUCUGGUGGACAGAUGCAACGAAGCACAUGUGUCAAUCUCAGAAGAAAGUGGAGAACACGUGUCGUCAUCGUUCGAAAGAAGACAUGCAGCAAAAGACGUAGCACCCGCACAUACGUUGUCGUUCGAAAUGAGACAUGAAGCGAAAGAUGUAGCUCCCACACAUGCGUUGCUCUCAAACGGUGUAAAUCAAGCGGCGAAUGAUGAUUCAUGUAGCUGGUAUUUGGACACGGGUUGUUCGAACCAUAUGACAGGGAGACGAGAAUGGUUAGUAAACCUCGAUCCAAGUAUAAAGAGCCGUGUGCGAUUUGCGGACAACAGCACGAUCAUGGCGGAAGGAGUUGGCAGAGUCUUGAUCACUUGCAAGAACGGUAAGAUCGCUUACAUGGAUGACGUCUUGUAUGUUCCUUCAAUGAAGAGCAACUUGUUGAGUUUAGGGCAACUCCUGGAGAAAGGGUACACCAUGUCUAUGCAUCAGCGACAUAUAGAAAUAUUUGACAGCAAACAACGUCCUGUGAUUAAAGCACCACUUGCCCGUAACAGGACUUUCAAAGUGAAUUUGAACGCUGCAGCUAUACAGUGUUUGUCUGUCUCAAACCACGAAGAAGAAGGAUGGCUAUGGCACUACAGAUACGGGCAUCUAAAUUUCAAAGGCCUGAGUCAAUUGAAAGGCAAGGAUUUGGUGAAAGGUGUGCCUUCAAUAUUUGUUCCAGACAGAAUCUGUGAGGGUUGUGCUAUAGGCAAGCAAUCUAGAAGGAGAUUUCAACAAUUGGCACCCAAAAGAGCGAAACAGCCUCUGGAUGUUGUCCACUCAGACGUUUGCGGCCCCUUCGAUGUUCCAUCAGUUGGAGGUAACAAAUAUUUCUUGUUAUUUGUAGACGAAUGGACGAGAAAAAUGUGGAUAUAUUUGUUGAAAGCAAAGAAAGAGGUAUAUUCAUAUUUUGUGAAAUUUUGCUCUUUGGUGGAGAGACAAUCUGGCUCGCAGGUUAGGGUGUUCAGAACCGAUGGAGGAGGAGAGUUCAACUCCUCUGAGAUGGACAAGUUUUGCACUGAAAAAGGCAUUGUGCAUGAAGUAACGGCUCCCUACACACCACAGCAUAACGGCCUAGCUGAAAGAAGGAACAGGACGAUAGUUGAUAUGACGAGAUGUAUGAUUAAAGCCAAGCAAUUGCCGCAUUGUUUGUGGGGAGAAGCAACAUCUACUGCUGUCUAUCUUCUGAAUAGAAGUCCUACGAAGGCCUUGCCUACAUGUACCCCUGAAGAAGCCUGGUCUGGAAUUAAACCAACUGCAUAUCAUUUGAGAGUUUUCGGGUCUGUGUGCUAUAGACACAUCCCAGAUGAACGAAGGAAGAAACUGGAUGAUAAGAGUGAGAUUCUCAUCUUUGUUGGCUAUCAUCCUACAGGUGCUUACAGACUGUAUGACCCAGUAAAGAAGCAGGUUGUCAUCAGUCGAGAUGUGGUGGUGGAUGAAACAACAACAUUUGACUGGGAGAAGGCUGAAGAAAAAUCUGAAGGAGGUUGUAUUCCAAGUUGGCUUGAGGAUAAGAGUUCCUUCAAUGAUGAGCAAACAGACGCAGACCGUGAAAUUAACAAUAGAAGAUCACAAAGGACAAGGUUUCCAUCCACCAGACUUACAGACCAUGAAGUCUUUCCUGACAAUGAAGUUACUAGCUCAGGUGAUCUUGUACAUUUUGCGUUUUUGGCCGACACAGAACCACUGACCUGGAAGCAAGCUAUUGAUGUAAAGGAGUGGAGAGAAGCCAUGUUGGAGGAACUUAAGGCAAUAGAGAAAAACAGAACCUGGGAGAUGGUGGAAUUACCUCAGCAUAAACAGCCCAUUGACGUUAAAUGGGUGUUUAAAAUCAAGCACAAACCAGAUGGUGAAGUAGCAAAGUUCAAAGCCAGAUUGGUGGCAAGAGGUUUCUUACAAAAGCCUGGAGAGGAUUUCACUGAUGUGUUUGCUCCUGUUGCACGACUUGAAACAGUGAGGUUGUUGAUUGCUGUGGCCAAUAUUAAAGCUUGGAGAAUUUGUCAAAUGGAUGUUAAAUCCGCUUUUCUGAACGGUUUUUUGGAGGAAGAGGUUUAUGUGAGACAACCUCCAGGUUUUGUGAAGAAAGGAGAAGAAGGAAAAGUGUAUAGAUUGAACAAAGCUUUAUAUGGUCUCAGGCAGGCACCUCGUGCUUGGAAUAACCAUAUCAACGCAGUUCUGCUCAAACUGGGAUUCAAGAGGUGCUCCGUAGAAUCUGGAGUCUAUGUGAAAUCUGGUGAAAGGCAAGGUAUGUUGUUGAUAUGCCUAUAUGUGGAUGAUCUUCUUAUAACAGGAGACUCAAUAGAUGAAAUUGAAGAAUUUAAGAAGAAGAUGAAGGAGGAAUUUGAGAUGACAGAUCUCGGUGGUUUAAGCUACUUCCUGGGUUUGGAAUGUGUGCAGACAAGCGGUGGAAUGUUUCUUAGUCAAAGGAGAUAUAUUAGCAAUGUGUUGAGAAGAUUUAAGAUGGAAAACUGCAACAGUGCAGCAGUACCAAUAAUGACAAAUUUGAAGUUGAUAGACAAUCCAGAUGAGAAGAAGGUGGACGCCACUUUAUAUAAACAAAUGGUAGGAUCCUUGCGUUAUAUUUGUAAUAGCAGACCCGAUAUCUGCUAUGGAGUUGGGCUGGUGAGCAGAUUUAUGCAGGAGCCUAGACAAUCACAUCUUGCUGCUACCAAACACAUAUUGCGAUAUUUGAAGGGAACUUCAAAUUUUGGUCUGUUCUUCCCCAAAAACCCGAACAACAUGAGAGGAGUUUUGGAGGCUUGGUGUGAUGCUGACUGGUGUGGUGACAAAGUUGAUAGGAAAAGUACUUUUGGGUACUUGUUCAGAUAUAUGGGAGCGACUGUUUCGUGGUGCUCCAAGAAGCAGAGCGUGGUCGCAUUAUCCUCUUGCGAGGCUGAAUAUAUCGCAGCUGCUGAGACUGCGUGUCAGUGUGUGUGGAUGGAAACUAUGUUUGAUGAACUAAGGAUUGAGUACGGAAAACCGGUGCAGCUCUCAGUGGAUAAUAAAUCAGCAAUAUGUUUGUCCAAAAAUCCAGUUUUUCACGGUAGGAGCAAACACAUUGAAACCAAAUUUCAUUUCCUAAGAGAUCAAGUCAGCAAAGGUAGAUUGGAGCUGGUUCAUUGCAGCACUGAUGAUCAAAUUGCAGAUGUGUUCACCAAAGCUUUGAAGCAAGUCAAAUUUGAGAAACUUAGAGAAUUGCUUGGUGUUAAAACUUUUGUAAAUUCAGAUUAAGGAGGGCGUGUUAGUAUUUUAAUCUGAAUAUCUCCCAACUGUAAUAACUGUCCUCUGACAGUUAUUCUCAUUCUUUAGUUUUACUCUUUAAAUACUUCUUUUGUACUCUCUAUUUCAAUUUUCUUCAAUAAGAAUAACUCUCAUUUUCUUCAAACUCUCUUACACUCUGUAUUCUCUCCUCUGCAUAAUUGCUUCUCUGCAUAAUUCUUCCAAACUGUAACAUAUAUACAAAUUAUUUUUUUCUACAUUAGUCAUAACGUUGAUUUGAAAAUUUUUCUAAUAUAAAAAAAUCUUUUUAUACUAGUUAAAAGAGGUUUUCUAUACCAAUUGUAAAAUCGAUAUAUAGAAACAAACAAUAAAAAAGUUUUAACUUUUCUAUAACGAAUUCAUAAUUGGUAUAGGAAGUUUCUUUUUUUCAUAAUGGUUAAUACCACAAUCGGUAUAAUAACCUAAUGCUUUCUUUUUCUUUUGUUCGCCUAUGAACAUAACAUUCUUAAACACAUCAACCAUGAAUCUAGAGCAAAACCAAGAACUAAAAAAUAAUUAUUCACUAAUUGAAUGCCCCACAAUUGCAUCUGUUGUCAUCGUUGACGUCUGACACUUCUUUAGAGCCUUUGAACAUAACAUCACUUCUUCUCUUGAGCAUUCUUUUCAAACAAAAACAACCAAGGUGCAAUAACUUCAAAGAACCUCUAAGUCAUCGCUCUAUACUUAUACUUGUGGUCGUCGACGGUUUCGCUAACACAACCUUUUUCUCCCUCUUAAGGGUUUCUCCAUAUCUCCCAAGUGUUUAUCUCCUCAUGCUUUGUUGCCAAUAUGUUGUGACGGCUUACAACUAGAGGUGUAGCACUACCUCGUCACCAUCGUCUAAGUCGUUGUUGGUGCUGGCGCAACCUCUCUACUCCUUCCACUUCAUAUGAGUGUCUUCCUUCUUGCUCACCAAAAUUAAAAUCCUCUCCAUUAUACUGAGAGUGACACCACUUAAUCUUGUUGUUGAUCGUCGCUAAACCAAUAUUCAGAUAUGUUUUUGGCACAUUGUUCUUUACAAUUAAUAAACAUGAGGAUCCUUUAGAAAUCUUCCUUUGAGAAUUUUGAUAUAACGUUGAGAUUCCCAAAGUCUUGUUGACUUUUUUGUUGUGUUACAUUUGUGUUGUUUAUGGGUGCUAGCUAAGAUAAAUGAAAGCGUUAGAGAAGAAUGGUUGGAUGGAAUUUAUUAUAUGAAAACUAUGAGUAUGGAGUUGAAGAUCACAAAUAAUAAUCGAGAGUUCAGAGAUAUGACAAAAUUUUUUGAAAUUAUCGACGGAAAUAAAUUUGUCUAUAAAUUUGAAUUAUCGAAGGAUUUUGCUGACAAAUUUUUAAUUCCGUCAGUAAUGCAUAUUUCAUUUACCGACAAAAUUUUUCGUCGAAAAAUCCGUCGAUAAUACAUAAUAAAUUUAUCGGUGAAAAAAUUUAUCAUUAAUACAUAUUAAAUUUAACAAUGGAAAGGUUUGUCGGUAAAUCCAUAGGAAAUACAUAUUAAAUUUAUCGAUGGAAAAAUAUGUCGGUAAAUCUGUUGGUAAUACAUAUUUAAUUUACCGACGGAAAGUCCUUCGAUAAAUCCUUUGAUAAAUACGUCGAUAAAAAGAACGACAAAUUUCCCACCCAUUCUUUGUCUCUUUUCGCGAACUGCACAUUACUUUUCUCACCACUUUUCUUUUAUUUUCAAAACCCUCUUCAUCUUCUUUUCUCUCCGUGAGGCAGCCCCUCAUCUCUCCUAUUUUUUCCAUCUAAGCUUAGAUUACCGCAACUCUAGGCCCAUUUGAUGCGCCUCCAUCUUUGUUUAGCCAAACCGCCAUCUACGUCGCCAUCUAUGUCGUCAAGCUUGGGAUCUUUCGCUUCGCUUCAUCUUCUUCUUCUUUAACACAUGUAAGGGAGAGAUCAUGGUUCAGUUCUUCCUUUUUCAUGCAAGGGCACAUCCAAGCUAGGUGCACUAUUGUCGUGCCACGCACUAGCACCACUAUGCAUCAUCGUUGGACCAUGAUGGAUUUGAAGCCAACAAAAUCCUUUUAUUCUCUUUUCUCUCUUUUUUAUUUGUAUUUGUGGUGAAAUAAUUUGAUAGGUUGGCUAUAAUUUUGUGUAGGUUAUGAAAUUGUUGUAAUAAUAGUUGGGUGAUAAUAAAAUUGUGUAACAAACCAAAGUGGAAUAGUGAAUAAAAGCAUAACGAUGAAAUUUUGUGCAUAAAAUUGUAUCAAUUUGUGUAACAUUCGAUUAUAAUGUGUCCAUUUUUGUUGAUUGAAAAAAAAAUAAGGGAAAGAAGAAAGGAAGAGGGGAAGAAGUUGAACCAGAUCUUAGUAGUUUGCAACCAAUUCAUUUUUUGUAUCUGUUAGGUCCAACCAAUAUAUGAAGUGUUCUACUUAUUUACCAAAUUGUCACCACAUUAGAUGGAGAACUAACCCAUGACUCCAUAUAAGAAGAACUUGAGGAGGAGCCUUUUGCAUGAAGGUAUGAAGGUCAUAGCUUGGAGCACAAUCUUGGUAAUACCUACACUUGUGGUGCAUCAGGUUUUUUCUUUUUGUUUAUUCAUUGUGUAUUAGUGUUGCCUUUGUUGUUUAGGCAAGGCUUCCAAAGGGAGUGUGUGUAGACUCUUAUUUAAGAAUGUGUUUUGUUGUGAUUGAGAGAGUGAGAGUAUAUUGAGUGAGUCUUGUAUUCUAUAAAUCUUGACAUUUGAUUUUAGUGGACUUCAACUCGAGUUGUUGAAAAAAAGAUUGAAUGUAAAUUCUUGAAGAGUUGAACCGAUAUAAAUCUUGUGUUGUUUUCUUUCACUAAUCUUGUUAAAUCUUUGGAAUGUUAAAAGAUUCAUUGAAAACAACCUUAUACACCAAUUUUUUUUAAAGAAAGUUAAAAGGAAUUUUCAAACAAAUUCACUACCUCUUGUUUUGUAAUAUAUUUUUUCGUAGAACAGGAUAACCAAGCAUUAUCACCAUCAUACAACACCGACGUUGGUAAAAUUAAAAGAAAAAAGGAGAAGAGAAAAAAAAUGAACUAGAUUGCGAUAUUUACCGACAACUUUAUCUGUCGAUGUUUACCGAUAAAUUUUUCUUUUAAUAAUUUUAGACAAUUUUUUUUUCCAAUGAUUACUGACAUAUUAAUAAAAUCCUUUGAUAAAAUUUACUAACAACAAUUUUACCAACGAAUUUUUUGUUAUCAAUAAACUUUCAAUAAUUUUAAUUUACUGAUAAAUUUUGUACAUUAUCAACAAAUUUUAAUUGUUAAUAAUAUCGAUUUUUAUCUAUAAUAAAUGCUCUAAUCUUUUACCUGUAUAUCAUCUGUCGCAAUCGGAAAAUCGCGACGGGACGACGAUCCAAAAAGAAAAUAAUUUGAAAAAUGUUUUGGAGUCGCUACUAUAGUUUAUUAUGGAAAACUACGGAAAAACCGUAAAAUGAUAAGGCAAGGUCUACAAAACCAAAUUCUGGUUUCGGAAGUCGGUUACGUGUGGGGAAGGUGUUAGCACCCCCACAGCGCCUGCCCUAAGGCAGUACCUUUAACUAAAUACGUGAAUUUGAUGUGGUUUGCAAAAUGUUUAAUUUCCCCUAAAAAAUAAGACUCUAAAGAAAACAAAAUAUUUUUUGUGUUUUUUGUGUCUGACAAGGAUUGACCUUGCUCCUAUGUAUUCUCAGUUGAACUGAGAAAUCAGGGUUACGUAGUUCUUUAAUUAUGUUCAGAUGAUUGUUUGAAAACAUGAUGUUUUAUAUUUUUUGUUAAUUUUUUGAGAGGAGAAGAAAAAGGUUUUUAACACAAGGCUGAUGCAAAUGGUCGCACGUGUGCUUAAACCUUUUAAAAUAAUAUUUUUUUAUAUUUUUAAAUAGAAGAAGAAAAAGGUUUUUAACACGAACGGUCGCACGUGUGCUUACACCUUUUAAAAUAAUUUUUGUAUUUUUAAAUAGAAGAAGAAAAAAAGGUUUUUAACACAAGGCUGACGCGAAUGGUCGCACGUGUGCUUACACCUUUUAAAAUAACUUUUUUUUUUUAAAAGAAGGAGAAAAAGGUUUUCAACACAAGGCUGAUGCGAAUGGUCGCACAUGUGCUUAAACCUUUUUAAAAUAAUAAUUUUUAUUUUUAAAAGAAGAAGAAAAAAAAAGGAUUUUUAACACAAGGCUGACGCGAAUGGUCGCACGUGUGCUUAAACCUUUUCAAAAUAUUUUUGAUUGAUAGUUUUUAUGAUUUUUAUAUUUUUUUUAUUUUUAACAAACAAACAAUGAUAAAACAAAUUCUAAAGCUAAAGAAAUAAAAGCGAAGGCAAUAAUAAAAAAAACAAUAUAGUCCAAUAAGUCCAAUAAAAAAAGGGAGGGCAGAAGACAAAACCAGGGGUGCAACAUGAAACUUAUUGGCCCAUGACCAGAGGUAGGGGUGCAGCAGAUGAAAAUUGGUGGUGCGUUUGGUAGGUGCUGGCCCAAGCCCUUUUUCGUUUUUGUUGAAGCACGGUGGAGGUGUGAAUGGAAUUGAACAUGGUGGCCAGUAGAUAGAAAGUUGUCCAAUAGGCCUAAGGCCCUUUGCCCCAAAUCAGAACAAUAGGGGUUCUACCAAUUUCCUCUCAUUUGUGCAAGCACCAUCAUGACCCAGGGCCAUUUUCUUCUCUGAACGAAGGAAACAGAGACGCACCUCUACUCAACCGACCACCACAAGCUUCCAUCCAAGUCUUCACCGACAACGCCGCUUGCCACUGGGGCCAUCGCCGGCCACCGUGAGGGUUCUCCCCUUUCUUUCUCUCGCACGAGAGAUCUUCUUGUUCGUGAGUGACGUAGGCUGUUCGUCAUGCAAGUUGCCGUUGCCACCGAGCCAGGGUCGUCGUUCCCCGUCGAGCCUUCCUUCUUCCAUCAUCGCGCCACUGCCAAGGUCAUCGUCGCAACUGCAUCAAACGAAAUUCACGAGACCAUUCACGCCAACUCCUCCCUCCAUGGGUGUACCUUCGUCCAAUCAUUCCACUUCAAGUCAUCGACCUACGGCACCACUUGCCAUUGAUCUAGGUUCGCCGCAACUUUCUCCAAUUAGGCUUACCUUUGCUGCGUCUCCGAGAGCCACCACGAGUCUUCUUGUGCAACUUGCUUCAGAUUUGCCUAAAAAGUCAUCAGAACAUCUGUGUUGAUAUUGUUGCCACCCUUCGUGUAAACUUAGAACUUGCCUCUGAUAUCUGUUUUUUACUUUGAGUGUUGAGAUGAGUUCGUGUGAUGGUGAUGGAGGUAGUGAAUGAGUUUCUCUAUUUUUGUGUUUGGUGUUUCUGUGAUGGAGGGGGGUCGUGAGUGAUUGGCCCUUCUUUGUGUUUUUUAGGUGUCAGACCGAAUGGAAGGGAGGGGAUGGUGAUUCUGUUGAGUUGAUGAGGUUGGAGAUAAUGGUGGAUGCUCUGGUUUUGAGUGUAUCGAAGGUGAUGGAAUGGAAGAACGACGAGAGAGAUGAUUCUGUUGGAGGAAAAUGGGUUCCCUCCUUGAGGUUUGUGUUUUUGGCCGAAGGGAAAAAGAAAAAUGGGUAAGUGAUUGGUGUGUCAGGAAGGAAAUUCCUCCGGAGGUGUGCGUGUUGAGUGAUGGAGAGGAGUGUGUGAGGUUAAUCUAUUGGAUGAACGUCUGAUGGUCUAUUGCUUGAAUGGGGGAAUUAGAGAAGAAGGUGUCAAUAAUGGAUGUUGUUGGAGAUGAAGGGAGGAUGCUUUAUGUGUUGCGUGAUGAGGUGUGGUGUGCGUGAGGAUGGUGUGCCUCUUCCUGAAGGCCUCCCUCUUUGCCAGUAUAUCCUCUGCCAAUCCACACCGUGUCUGCCAACCCAAUCGUGCCUGCAAAAAUCGUUUCUUGCUCCCUUGCUGUCCAACCCCGUACACACUGCUCCUAUCCCAGCUAAAACCUCUCUUUUCUUUUACUUUUUUUUUACUAAAAGACAAAAAACUACACUUUUUUUCUUUUUUUUUCUUUUUUUUUCUUUCAUGUUUUUUCUUUUUUUUUUUCGUUUUCCUUUUCUUUUCUUUUGGUUCUUUCGUUUUGUUUUUUGUUUUUUCUUUCUUUCCUUUUUUUUCAUUUCUUUUCUUACUUAUUUUUUUUAUAUAUUUUGUUUUUCAAAUAGAAAAUAAAAUCAAAUGAUAGCUAAAUCAAAUAUCAAAAAACUAAAAACUAAAAUAAAAUAAGACACAUAAAAAAAUAAGUCCUACUAUUUAGUCACCCAGACGAAAUUGUGGUUGAUAUGAUUAUACUUUUCUCUUCAUGUAACAAGAAGAAACUAUCACUGUCACAUGUUUCCUGAAGUUUAUUUUUUAUGGAGUAAAUUAGUUUUGGCAAUUUGAUGCGUUAUGUACACUACUUUGAUUCUUCAAUUAAAGAAGUUUGUCAGUCAUAAUUGUACUACUACAUGAACUCAAUAUCCUACUUAUCCUACCUAACAAUUCAAUUGUUUUCUCCAUAAUAGUGUAAUAUAUAUUAGUAUUUUAAAUAAAAAAAACAAUAGUAUAUAAUUAAUAUAUUAAUUUAUUAAGUUAUUAAGCAAAUGUUUUUAUUUUUUACUGGUGUCAAAAUAACAUGUCUUUUUUUUUAAAAAAAUAAAAACUUUCAAACCCUCAGCAUUCAGACUCUUUCUAGUUUUAAGUUUAAAAAUAAAAAACAUGAUAAAGUAUUAUUUUUUUUAUGAGUUAAGUGGAUGUUUUUGUCUCUUUGUCAUGUCAAAAUAUCAGUUUUUUUAAAGAUUUGACACGCCUUAGAAUAAAUACAUUCAGAUCAAAACAUGCUAUAAUACGUUAGGGUGGACAAAUUGAACUGAACUGUACUGCACUGCUAAAAUCUGAACUGAACUCUAAAACAGUUCAGACAAACUGAACUGAACUGUAAAACAGUUCAGAAAAACUGAACUGAAUUGUUUUUCGUUUUAUUAAACUGAAUUGAAUUGUACUGUACUAAAUUACAGUAUGAACUAAACUGAACUAUUAAUUGAAUUGUAAACUACACUAACUGAACUAUUAACUGAAUUAUAAACUGCACUAAUUGAACUGAACUAUUUAUUAACUAAAUUGUAAACUAAUUUUAACUAAAGUAUAAUAUAAACUGAACUACUAACUAUACUAAUUUUAAACUAAAUUGUACUAAUUUUUAAACUAAAUAUUAUAACAAUACAUAUUGAAAUUUAUUUUAAUAUUUAUUUUAUUUUAUUCAUAAGUAUCUAAUAAAAUGAUUUUUAAUUAUUUAAUAUUAUUAUUUUCUAUUUUAUUUAUAUUUCUUUUAUUAUUAAAAAUUAUUUUAUUUUUUAUUUAUUUACUUAUAUAUAUAUAUAUAUAUAUAAAUGUAUAUAUAUAACUUAAAAAAUAUAAAAAUAUAAAUUAUGUUUUUUAUUUUUAUUGAUAAAAAAUGGAAAUUUUGUGAUAAAAAAAUUGUCUUAAAAAAUUAAUUAUUAUUUUUUUAUGUGAACAAUUUUAUUUAUUAGUAUUUUAUUAUUAAAUAAAGUUUUCUUGAGUUGUACUGAAACUAGAGAAGAUAUAAGAGUAAAUACAGUUCUCACAGUUAACUGAACUGUAAUGUUAUAAAAAACUGAACCAUAAAACAGUAUACUGAACUGUUAGUAAAAGUGGUUCAGUUAUUUUUAGUAUAAUAUAGUACAGUUAACUACAGUACAGUACAGAUCAGUUAUUUUUGCCCAACCUAAUACAUUGGGUUGAUUUGAUGAUAAUUUUGAUGAUGUAUGCAAUUUUGUUGUUGUUAUUGAUUCGCCUUAUUCGUCUCACUUAUUGUCAAAAAUAUCAUUAUCCUAGUUGAAAAUAGGAAUGCAUGCCAAACGAAUCAUAGUAUGCAAAAGGAAAUGUAUAGGAGAGACUGAACUUUUGAGCUCCCGUAACUUGUAAUUCACGUUGCUAAUAUGAGAGAAGACGUUUGCAUAAAUUUAAAUUAAAAAAGAAUUAUAUUUUUUAAUAUUAAAUAGAAAGAUAAAUAUAUCAUUAUAUAUAUAAUCAUUAUAUAUAUAUAUAUAUAUAUAUAUAUAUAUAUAUAUAUAUAUAUAUAUAUAUAAAUUAUUAACCAAGCAUUCAUAUAAAUACGGGAAACUAAUCACUAAUCACUAAUCACUAUGAUUUAAUAAUGCGCAUACUUUAAAAGAAAACUUUAAUAUCUAAAUUGGAAAAAAUUAAGAUUCAAACAGUAUAAUUGUUAUUUUGUUUUGAGGGAAUAUUUUAGUGAUUAUAUUUAAAUUAUAUUUUUUUCAUUCUUUUGCUUGUUAAUUUAAAAUAAAUAAAUUAAAAUAUAAAUAAUCUUUAUGUGGGCUAUCCUACGAGUCAAAAUGUUACGUGGAAGAAGCCAAGAAAAUUAAUUUGCAUGUCAUUGAUAGCCCUGAUUCACUUUUUAUGCACCAAAUGCAAAGCAGAACAAAACAGGACGCAUUCUCACCCUAUAAUAAAAAGAAAAUAUAUUUUAAUAAUUUUUUAGACAAUGUUUUUGAACGGUUUUUAUGGAAACGAAUCGGUAAAAUAAUAAUAUAUAAUUUGUUGUCAAAAAAUUAUAAAAUAUUAUAAUAAAAAAUAAAUAAAUGUAUGAGUCUUUCUAUAUAUAUAUUAAUCAUUUUAUUUGUAUUUAUUUAAUGUGAGAUUUCAAGGGCUUGAAUUCUUAAGAUAUGACAUACAUGUACUUAUCAUCAUGAUAAAUAAAUGACGUGGCAUUUUAGCAAAAUUAUUAUAAACCGGCGGAAAAACAUUUUGGUAGCUAACCGAAUCUUAUUAAAGCAUCAAAUUCAUAUAUAUUUUUUCUUGAGGAGUUGAUAAUGUUGAGAAUUAGAUAAAUCUAUUUUAAUUAAUUUAUCUUUUUAAAUUUCUGUUAAAUGAUUCUUUAUUUCCUGACUUUUAUUUUUCAAAAUUUCAAAAUAUUAAUUAUUUUAAUAGAUGGACCGAAUUAUUCAAUCGGCUUUUUAUUAUUAUACUUUACCACAACGUUUUAUUGAGAGAAAUAAAAUCUUAACCCUCUUUUAAAAAUAAACAAGGUCGUGCUCCACGGGAAACAUAAAAUAUUCCUCGCCACGAGCUUUAAUGUUAUAUAUAAUUUAUUUACUACUAUUAUUGCUGUGCUUCGUGAAGCUCGUGGAUUUUAACUGUUGUUAAAAUAAGAAAUAAAAUGUUAUCUCUGAUGUCUCUUUUUAUUUUUAUAUUAUAACUUUUCUAAUUAUUAAAAGAAAGGUUGCUAUCUUUUGUGACACGUGUCUCAUUGGAUUGCUAAAACAAAGUCAACUUCUUGCUUUAAUUUGUAUUGUGUCAAAUAACUAUCGAAUAUGUUUGUAUAUUUUAAAAUUACAAAACAAUAUAUAUAUAUAUAUAUAUAUAUAUAUAUAUNNNNNNNNNNNNNNNNNNNNNNNNNNNNNNNNNNNNNNNNNNNNNNNNNNNNNNNNNNNNNNNNNNNNNNNNNNNNNNNNNNNNNNNNNNNNNNNNNNNNNNNNNNNNNNNNNNNNNNNNNNNNNNNNNNNNNNNNNNNNNNNNNNNNNNNNNNNNNNNNNNNNNNNNNNNNNNNNNNNNNNNNNNNNNNNNNNNNNNNNNNNNNNNNNNNNNNNNNNNNNNNNNNNNNNAUAUAUAUAUAUAUAUAUAGAUAAUAAUAUUUAGACAACAUUUUUUUGACAAUAUUUGAACAUUGAUUAUGUUUUAAUAUGUGAUUGGUCAUAAAUUACUUUAUAAUCAAUAAUAAUAAUCACAAACACUAUUAUAAAAUAAUUUACGACCAAUCACGUAAUCAAUGUUAAAAUGUUAUCAAGAAAAUAUUGUCUAAAUAUCAUUAUCAUAUAUAUAUAUAUAUAUUAAUUAGAAAAACCAUAUAAACAAUCAAAUUAAAUAUAUAAGUUCUUCACUUAAAACAAAUAAAAGCAUAAAAAUACAUCAAUAUAUAAAUUCCAAUUUUGUAUAGUUUCUUAGCUUAGCAAUUACAUUAAAAUAACUGAGUCCAACUUCAUCCUUAUCCAUAUAUUGUACUUGCAUAGCAUGACAUCUAAUCUUUUACUUACACUGAGCACGUCGCUAAAGACAUCUAUAUAGUCUCUCCGAAUUUUUUUAAAAUCUUUUUAUUAUAAAUGAAUUUGAAUUAAUUUUAUUCUAAUAGCCUUAAAGAAUAAAAAGUAUAAAAAAAAUUGACAAUAAUUAUCUUCGUAUAAUUAUAGAUCAUAAUUAUACAGUUCUGUUAUGAACUUUACAAAUAUUUAGACUAUAUAUAAAUGAACAAAAUUGAUUAUUAUAUAUCUUUUCUGUUAAAACCAACAUUGAAAAUGAUGAUUUUCAGAAAAUAUUUUUAUUGGUAAGAAAAAAAAAUUGGUUUUCGGAUAAAAAACUCGUUUCAAAAUUCUACGAUAUCAUAUUUCACAACAUUAUGGAUCAAACUACCAAUAAUUGCUUUCUUUUUUUAAAAAUUGCCAAUUCUUUACAUUUCUCCACCUAUAACAUUUCAAAUAUCUUAACACAAAUUAUUAUUUUUCAUUAAAAAUCGAGUUAUUUUAAAAAUAUAUUUCAUUAAUUUAAUAAAUUAACUAUAAUUCAGUUAUUAAAUUUAGAAAAAAAUAUUAAAAUAAUUUACCCACAUGUUGUGAAUGUCUCUCUUUCAUAAAUGAACCUUUGUUUCUAUUCUGAGCUCUUUCUUUCCUUCUUUUUUCCUUUCUCUAUGUUGGAAAUUGAACUCUCCAUAUAUAAUUAAACCAUGUAUUAUCUUAUGAUUUUUGAAGUAGAAACACGUGCUGCUAUAGCACCAUCUUUGGUUCUAUAUAAAGAACCAAAAUGCAGUACACCAAAACAUCUCCAACAACACCUUCCAAAUCGAUCAACCAUGAAGCCAACCCUAGUUCUUGCUCUCUCUUUCCUCCUUCCCCUCCUUGCUUUCUUCACCAACCUUCCCUUAGCUUUCUCAGAUGAUGUUCAACAAGUUGUGGACAUAUAUGGGAACCCCAUUUUCCCAGGUUUCAUAUACUACAUCAUCCCAGCAAUCCGUGGUCCAGCUGGUGGUGGAUUGAAACUUGCCCAAACUGGAAAGUCAGAGUGCCCUCUUACUGUUCUGCAAGAUUACUCAGAAGUCUUCCGUGGCCUCCCUGUGCAAUUCACCAUUCCCGGAAUCAGCCCUGGAAUCAUCUUCACAGGUACUAAUCAAUACUUCAUUGUCAUGAGAAUCGUUAGAAGUCUCAUCUCGACUGAAUGGAUGUAGUGAGCCGAUUUUGCAAGAUUGAAUUAGACUUAAAGUCUAUGGUAUUAUAGUUAUGAUCAGAAUCCAUCCUAACGAUAUUUGUUAUCUGUUGAACAUGUUGUUUCACCUGCUAUUAGGUCAUUAUCCGACUAUAUAUUAAUGUCUAGUCUCACGAUGAUAUGUUUAUACCUCAAUUUAUAGAUUGAAUUGAGCUUAAAUUUGAUUUCCUAACAAAUUUCUUAUAAAUGAUCUUCUGUUAUUAAUUUCAAGUUUUGGAAACUUCCCUAUAGGUACCAAACUGGACAUCGAGUUCGUACAUAAGCCAUUAUGUACAGAAUCCUCCAAGUGGUUGGUGUUCGUGGACGAAUCAAUCCAGAAAGCAUGCGUGGGAAUUGGUGGUGCCGAAGGCCAUCCAGGGCAACAAACUUUUGGUGGCAAAUUUCACAUUGAGAAAUACAAAUUUGGGUACAAGCUUGUUUUCUGCAUCACCGGCUCACCAACUUGCUUGGAUAUUGGGAGAUUUGAUGCAGAGAACGGUGAGGAAGGAAGACGCUUGAAUCUCACUGAGCAUGAAGCAUUCGAUAUUGUGUUCGUACCAGCUUUUGAAGCUGAUAAGGUUAUUAAGUCUGUAGUUUGAAUCAAAUAUCUCUAGUUAAUCAGAUUUUAGUUAAUGCAAUCAUAUGUUGUUUUGAUUUGCAUUACCUAAGAGAAUCUAGUCCAAAGACUGAAUAAGAUAGUUAAUUUCUAAUUUCUUGCCUGAUAUCUUUCUCUCUUUCAUUUCGUUCAAACUUCAAUGAAAGACAUUAAAAAAUUUAGGUUUAAUAUUCUGAAAUGCCCACACAAGCCGACGUGGUUCUGCCAUGCACAACUUUAAAUACUAAACAUCAUAUAUUAUAUAUAAUAAAAUAUUAGUCCUCGUGACCCUCGACCUAUUCGACCUAUAGUAAAAAAAGUAUGUUCAUUAAACAAUUCUAUAUAUAUAUAUAUAUAUAUAUAUAUAUAUAUAUAUAUAUAUAUAUAUAUAUAUAUAUAUAUAUAUAUAUAUAUAUAUAUAUGGAACGUUUAAUUAUGCUCAUGUAGCUUGAUUAUUUAUACAUUGGUCAUAUUUUUUUUUUUAUUAUUGACAUUGUUACUUAAUGGAAACUGACUCUCAAAUUAAAUCGAUAGGUUAUAAAAAAUUAAAUCAAAAUGUGAAAGAGUGUGUGAGUUUUAUUUUAAUUGCGAAUAUGUACGACAGAAUUUCUCUUCAAGAACUUUUGGGAAGGAAAAAAAUGAAAUUAGUAUCUCAAUAAAUUAAAACUAAUUUAUUAAUAAAUUAAUCUAUUGACAUAGCUUCUUAAAAAGUUAUUUUUAACUUACACUAGUAAAUAAACUAGUAAAUAAACAAUUUUUUAACUCAUACAUUAAGUUUCUUCAUAAAAAUUCAAUGGUAAUUUUAUAAUUAUGACAACAUUAUAUGUCUCGAUUCAUUAUGAAUUGAUAACUAAGGGUUAGUUCUUUGAUCAAUCGAGACAAAAAAUCUUGUUGACCCAUGUAAAUUAGACUUUUCAUCUGUCUGAGUUCUUUGACCAACUUAGACAUUAUGUCUUGUCAGAAACCGACAACAUUUAAUUAUGAUUGUUUGAAAUUUAUUUUGUCAACUUCUACGGCCUUGAUUAUAUUUUAACUGAUGUCAUAGGCCUUUUAUGCCUUAGGUUAACCGCGAAUUGAUGCUUACAAUUAUUAGAUAUUUUCAAAUUUUUCAUUUACAAUUUUAUUUUGAAUUUUUUCUAGAAGGUUUACGCAUAAGUUGUGUUUAUAACUGAGGUAAUAGUCUCUUUGAUAGUUAAAUUCCAUAGGUUCAACAUAUUAUAACGUACUUUCUGUCACCAAUUAUAAUAGUGUAUUAUGAAAUAUUUUCACUUAUUAGUCUUAAUAUAGCAAAUAUAUUAUGAUGUAGCUCGAUUUAUCUAUUAUAAUAUAUAGUAUUUUAUGAUAUAGAGCUUUUCACCUAUCAUAAUAUGUCGAAUAUAUUAUGACAAGUAAUUGUUCACCUAUCAUAAUAUAUGUUUUUCAUAAUUAACUUUAUUACAUACAUAGUUCACCUAUCAUAAAAACUUGUUUUGUUAAAAAAUAAUAAUUCAUUAUUACAUUUAACAUAUCCAAUCAAUUUCUUGUAUUAUCAUAUCAUCAAUCAAUUUAUAAUCAAUAUAACAUGAAAUGAACAUAUUUAAUUAAACUAAGUUUAAACCUCUUUUUGGUCCCUAAGUUAUAAGCUGGUGUUCAGUUUAGUCCCUGCUUUUAAGAAUGUCAACUUUUGAUCCCUAAGUUAUAAAAAAUGUUUCAAAUCAGUCCCUACCGUUAAAUAUCCACUAACGGAGUUAAUUUUUUUUCUCUCUCUUCUGCUCCUCUGAAUUUCUGUGAAGAUAACAACUUUUUCUUUCUCUCUCUUUUACGUCUCCUCUGAAUUUAUAUGAAAACAACAACUUUUACCAACGCUGUUGAUGAAGCUCCCCAAACUAUGCUUUCCUCUGCUGGCUCAUGCAGAUGACGACCACCCCUUCCUCUAUUAGACCCACCUCUGAAAAGUUUACUGAGCCAUUUCAUGAAACCAGACUUUCUCUCUGAGCGAGGAGAAAUAUAAUCCCCUGCAUCCCACCAAAAUUCCACCAUGUAUAUCAAGUUUAGUAAGAACCAGAAGAAGUAUAUCAAGUUUAGUAAGAACCAGAAGAAGUGAAAAUUCAAGUUCUAAAAAAAAAGCACCAUGGUCUAGAUAACUUAUUGGAACCACGUGAAAAGUAAAUUCCGAAACUUUGAGAAUACCUAUUUAGUAAAAUCAACAGAAAAAGUUUAAAGUUCAAACAAGAGCUUCAUGGGGUGGUUCACGCUUCUGCAAAAUCCAUUUUUUUUUUCUUUCUUCCACGUAAAUAUCUGUAAAGCAACCGCUUUGAAUAGAUGGGGGUGAUGAAGCUCAGAUUUUGCUGAAUAGUAGUGAAAGAGAAAGAUAGAGAGAAAAGAAUGAUGAUACCGUAUAUGCAUGGAUGAGAAAGAUGGUUGACAUGGAGCCAUAAGGAGGAAAAAAGCAAUGUUGUGAGAGAGAAGACGAGGGAAAUGAAAAUGACAGAGAGAUGGAGAAGAUUUGAGUGUGGUUGAAGAAGGGGCAUGAGAGAAGAGAAAAAUACGGAAUCAGCGCUGGCAUUGGAUUUGAGUGUAGUUGAAUCUUACCUUUGCUUCUUCACUCUUGUUUUCAGAUAAAUUCGGAAGAGUAUAAGAGAGAGAAAGAAAAAACUGUUAUCUUCACAGAAAUUUAGAGGAGCAGAAGAAAGAGAAAGAAAAAGUUAACUCCUUUAGUGGAUAUUUAACGACAGGGACUGAUUUGAAACAUUUUUUAUAACUUAAGAAUCAAAAGUUAACAUUUUUAAAAGAAGAGACUAAACUGAACAUAAUUAAAUUCAUUUUAAAAAUUAAAUUGUUUGAUAAUAUUUAAUACAUAAUUUAUACAUUAAUCCAUAUAUUACAUUAACUUACAGUACAGCAGUCAAGUUUCUAUAAACAAUGUCCAUGGAAUAACAAACAAGUUUCUAUACCCAACGGCCUUUCCCCCCUGUGAACAUGUAGUUACCUUUGUACUUGCUAACGAAUUCUUUUUUUGGCCUAGACCAUGCAGCAAACUCAUAGUCAACAGCAAAGCUCACUGACCCCUUCUCCUGCAUUCCCAAAAACAGCCCAAUAACCGGCUACAGUAUCUCAUGCACGAAGCAACUUCAAAUUUGUCCGCAGCCAUCAACACGUCCAGCAAAGCAGGUGCUGUAGUAGUGGUCAAGGUACAUAACGUUCAGCAGCUCCAUGAGAACAGCUUCUUCUGCAACAUAAAAAGAAGUAUGGCAUUUCUAAUGUAACUAUUUGAGGGAAAAGAGGCAAAACUGUGCAAAGAAUCUACAAAGUACAUUCCUACAUUCCUACCUGAGGCAUUAAUUUUAAGGGAGACAUGUCUCUGAUCAGACUCCCUCAUCCCAUUUGAGAAAAGCUGCAUAAGUAAAUACAUACUAGUAAGCAAAUAUAUUUUUGGAAAAAAAGAAUCAAAUGUACCCUGUAAAGAAGAAAGAUCUUCCUCAACCUUAUAAAAGAAAGGACUUUUAUCAAACAAGAUAGGAGAACUUAUGUGAAGCGUUUUAACUCUAACAAUGGUCCAUGCUGUAGUCCGAAUCAUGACUAUUUGUAGCUUUUCAUCACCUGAAUUAACCACACCACUCGAGUAUUCACAGAGCAGAAAUGAUAACUUCAUACUAAAAGGGAAGGAACCAAAAGAUAUCCAUAAAGAUAUCAAUGUCCAUUCCUUGUUUAAAAACAAAUGAGAGUGUCAUAUUUUCUGAUAACAUAAACUUCUCUAAACAAUCACACUCGUGUAUAAAUCGUACAUUUACGAUUAAAUUAGAGGAUUUCUAAUGCAAUAUAUGUAGAUUCCUAAAGAUAAUUGGGAAACGAGGGCAUGUUUCAUUCCCUUCUCAUUUUUCAGAUUUAAAAACAAUUUUUCCGAAACAACACCUAAUUAGCAAUCUAUUUCUCAUUCAAAUUUUUUUAAAAUGAUUUUGGAAAUAGUUAUUUUAAAAAAUCAAGUCUUAAAUGUUUACUUGGUUCCUGAGUUAAAUAAUUUUGUUCAGUUUAGUAUCUGGUUUUAAAAGUGCAUACAUUAAGUCUCAAAAUUAUAAAAAUUGUAUAGAUCAAGUCCCUUCCGUUAAAUUGGCAAUAACAUAGUUAAUUCUUAGUUGAUGUGGCAAAAUAAUCUGCAUUUUAUCUUCUCUCUCCCAUGCUUUUCCAGCAAUGCCCAUCUUUUUCUCUCUUUUCUAUAUCUUUCGUAUUCUUCUUCAAUCUUCCUUCUUCAAUCUUCAACCUUGAAGCUCAUCGUCAUGUCUUCUCUCCUAGGUAAGCCUCUCACGAUUCAAUCUUUUUAAAGUCAAAUCGAUGAUGUAUGUGGCUCUUUUGGACUCAAAACUCUGAUAGAUGAUUGCAAGGAACAAUUAUUAGAAGUGGAUGCAAAUGCAAAACCUAAAUUCCAGAUAAAAAAUCUCACUAGAGUUUUUGACGGUGGGGUUUCAAUCUUCAAAAGCAUCAACCUUAACAUCCCAAAGGGUGUCAUUGUUGGGAUCAUAGGCCCCGACGAUAGCGGCAAGUCAACCUUCUUAAGAGCCUUGAACCGCCUUUGGGUAUGGUUGUAGUUUCUUCCAACAACUUAGAUAACUCCACCUUCUUCAUCGAUUCAGAUUCCCUCAUCCGAAGUUCAUCAUUUUCUUCAAACAUACUUUACAACUCGUUUUCUUUAUCCAAUAAAUUCUCCUUCAGUUUCAUGUUCUUAGCUAUUGCUUCCUUAAGAGCUUCCUGCAGUUGAAUUGCCUCAGCCUCAACUUCCUUAAUAUUUUCCUUCAACUAGGCUUCUUCCUCCCUGUUUAUAUUAGCUUCUUCCUCGGUUUCUUUAAGCAAAUAAAGCAAUCUUUUUAUUUCUUUUUUCCAGAGAUACCUUCUUUUCUUCAUUUUUCUUUAUGCAGCUUACAAGAUGAUGCUCUCUCUCUGCUCCUACUCAACCUUGGAGUUCUCAAAGACACUCUUUGAAUUUUCAAUGCUACAUACAAGAAAAUGGAUCUCAUGUCAUGCCUCAUCAAGCAUGGACUCAUUUUUUAUUGGUGGCUUUUAAUACUAACUUCAAAUCUUCAAUCUGAGCCUCACAGCUUUCACGUUCAGCUUGGAUGUUUAGUAGAUUUUCCUUGGCUUCUCUGGCUUCUGUAGAUAUUUCAUGUAAUGCAGAAGCUAAGCUUUCCAUUGCCUUUUUACUCUUUUCUUCUUCAUCCUUAGAAUUUUCCAAUUCACUGAUAAGUUUGUUUUUCUCUUGUAAUAAUGUUGGAGGGUAUCUAUUCUACAGGCAUAGUUGCUGACAAUGUGAGGUAUGGACCACAACUUAGAGGGAAAAAGCUAAUUGAUGAUGAGGUGCGCAAGUUGCUGGCAAUGGCAGACUUCGAUGCUUCUUUCAUGGAUAAGUCCGGGGAUGAACUCUUUGUGGGUCAAGCACAAAGGGUUGCACUUGCUAGGAUUUUGGCUAAUUCAUCGGAGGUAACAUAAAACUAUUUUUUUUUGUCUCUUAACUUUAUUUUUUGUCUCCAUUUUUACUUGUGAUGUUCGUUUUAUUUGGUAUUUUUGAAUUGAAGAUUUUGUUGUUAGAUGAGCCACGAUGAAUGUACUUCCUGAUUAUUAACAGUGGACUGGAAAGGAAAUAAGAGAAUUUGAGGAAGUGGAGGAUAGGUUUGGUGAAAAAAAGAAGAGAAAAAAAAACUAUUUUGUAAAGAUAUAGGAAAGAGAGAAAAAAGCAAGGACAUGGUAGGAAAAAAAACAGAGAAGAGAGAAGAAAUAUGGUAGAAGUUUUUGCCACAAUAGUUGGGAGUUAAUACCAUUGUUGUCAAUUUAACGGAAGAGACUUGAUUUAUAUAAUUUUCACAAUUUUAGGAUAUAACAGAAGGGACAUGAUUUAUAUAAUUUUUACAACUUUAGGAUCUAACUGUAUGCACUUUUAAAAUCAUGUACUAAAGUGAAAAAAAAAACCACUUAACUUAGGAACCAAGUAAACAUUUAAACCAAAAAUCAAUAUACAAAAGCAUAUAUUCUCAUCUUCUCUUUUGAUCUUGUUUGAGCUCUACCUCAAUUCCACACUCUACUCUCGCCUUACACCUUCCACUCUACCAACUGUCUGGACAAAAUGCAAUUCAAGUUUCACUGGUAUUCAUACAACAUGCAAUUCAAGUUUUACAAGAAAAAAUUAAAUAAUAAAUUUAGAUCUCUUAGAAUAAAUUUAGAUCACCUAAGAGAGACCACCUGGAAGAAACCCUACUCCCAUGAAGCCCUAGCAAUGUGUGACUAGUACUCUUCUCUCACAGUCUUGUUACUGUCCUCUAAACGGCUGAGAUAAAUGACCGAAAGCUCGCAUUCCUCAGCACCCACCAGGAUACAACAUGGAGACGUGCCAUCGACGACGUGAAGCUUCAAGACGUGUAGAGUUUCGAGAUGUUUUGUGUGGUCUGGGACGAGAGAAAGAAAUGUUGUGCGAGAUUGGAAGAAAUGAAAUGAGAAGGGUUUUGCACUUAUUAUAAUAAGUAUUUUAAUAUGUAUCAUAAUAUGUUUUUCCAUAAUUUUCAUUUUGUCAUCAUAUUCAACUUAUUAUUAUGACAGGUGACUUGUACCUGUCAUAAUACUUAUAUUUUUUAUUACGAAAAUAUUACUAUUAUAAAUUUCUUAAAAUAUGUCAUAAUACAUGUUAAUUUUAUUAAAAAUUAUUAUGAUAACUAGAUUUCAUCAAUAGAAUCCUCUUUUUUACUUUUUUUUUUCUACUAGUGAGUAAUUACAUUAAAAUAACUCAGUACAACUUCGUCCUUAUCCAAUUAUUGUACUUGCAUAACAUGUGAUAUAAUAUUUUACCUACACUCAGCACGUCGAUCUACAAAGUCUAUUCGAAUUUUUUUUAAUUCUUUUAUAAUAAAUGAUUUUGAAUUAAUCUUAUUCGAAUAACCUUAAAGAAUAAAAAGUAUAAAAAAAAGUUGACAAUAAUGUCAUGAACCUUAAUUUUAUAUAUCUUUUAUGUAAAACCAACACUGAAAAUGCGGAUUUUCAGAGAAUAUUUUUAUUGGUAAAAGAAAAAUUUGAUUUUCGGAUAAAAAACUCUUUUCAAAAUUCUACGAUGUCAUAUUUUACAACAUUAUGGAUCAAACUACCAAUAAUUGCUUUCUUUAUUUAAAAAUUACAUUCUCUCUUUCUCGAUAUAUAUUGUUUGCCAAUUCUUUACAUUUCUCCACCUAUAACAUUUAAAAUAUCUUUACACAAACUUCAAUUUUUAUUGAAAAUCGAGUUAUUUUAAAAGUAUAUUUCAUAAAUUUAAUAAAUUAACUAUUAUUCAGUUAUUAAAUUAAGAAAAAAAAUUAAAAUAAUUUACCCACAUGUUAUGAAUGUGUUGUCAGUCUCUUUCACAAAGUCAUUGUCCUGUCUUACUAUAAACCUUUGUUGCUAUGUCCAUUCUUAACAUGAUAUUACAUUUCUUGCUGCCACACAUGUUUCUAUUCUUUGUAUUUUUCCUUUUUCCUGUCUCUAUGGUCAAAAUUGAGAUCUGCAUACCUAAACCAUAUUAUCUUAUGAUUUUUAAAGUAGAAACAGGUGGUGCUAUAGCAGCAUCUUUGGUUCUAUAUAAAGAACCAAAAUCAAUCCAGCACAACAUCUCCAACAACAUCUUCCAAAUCGAUCAACCAUGAAGCCAACCCUAGUUCUUGCUCUCUCUUUCCUCCUUCCCUUCUUCACCAACCUUCCCUUAGCUUUCUCAGAUGAUGUUCAACAAGUUGUGGACAUAUAUGGGGACCCCAUUUUACCAGAUUUCACAUACUACAUCGUCCCAGCAAUCAGUGGUCCACCUGGUGGUGGAUUGAAACUUGCCAAAACUGGAAACUCAAAGUGCCCUCUUACUAUCCUGCAAGAUUACUCUGAAGCCUUCCGUGGCCUCCCUGUUCAAUUCACCGGAGACAGUCACUUAUUCAUCUUUACAGGUACUCAUCAGUAUUUUAUCAAUUUAAUUGUAAUGUAUUAUUGAAAAUUUCAAAAAUUGACUGAAAAUAAGACCAAUUUAUAAUAUAUAAACGAAUACAGAUGUCAAACUGAGUUUGUGAAGUUGAAUUAAACUUAAAAUUUACCUGAUAUCAUAAAUAUGAUUAUAAUUAUAACCAAUUUAUAUAAAAUAAAACUAAUUUAUAAUAUAUAAGUAGGUACAGAUCUCAUCUUACAAAUCUAUUUUAUAGAACUGAUUUAGAUUUAAAAUCCACUCUUUAACCAAUUUCAUAUAAAUCAUCUUCUGUUAAUAAUUUCAAGUUUUGGAAACAUCCUAUAGGUACCGAAGUGGACAUCAAUUUCGUACAGAAGCCAUUGUGUGCAGAAUCCUCCAAUUGGUCGGUGUUCGUGGACGAAUCAAUCCAGAAGGCAUGUGUGGGAAUUGGUGGUGCCGAAGGUCAUCCUGGACAACAAACUUUUAGUGGCAAAUUUCACAUUCAGAAAUAUCAAAUUGGAUACAAGCUUGUGUUCUGCAUCUUUGACUCACCAACAUGCUUCGAUAUUGGAAGAUUUGAUGCACAGAACGGUGAGGGAGGAAGACGCUUGAAUCUCACUGAGCAUGAAGCAUUCGAUAUUGUGUUCGUACCAGCUUUUGAAGCUGAUAAGGUUAUUAAGUCCGUAGCUUGAAUCAAAUAUCUCUAGUUAAUCAGAUUUUAGUUAAUGCAAUCAUAUGUUGUUUUGAUUUGCAUUAGCUAAGAGAAUCUAGUCCAAAGAUUGAAUAAGAUAGUAAAUUUCUAACUUUCUUGCGUGAUAUCUUUCUCUCUUUCAUCUCUUUCAAACUUCAAUGAAAGACAUUAGAAAAAUUUAGGUUUAGUAUUCUGAGAUGCCCACACAAGCCCACGUGGUUCUGCCAUGCACAACUUUAAAUACUAAACAUCAUAUAUUAUAUACAAUAAAAUAUUAGUCCUCGUCACCCUCGAGCUAUAGUAAAAAAAGUAUGUUCAUUAAGCAAUAAUUUUAUUUAUUUUAUUUGUUGACUGUUUGAAAGUGCUGUGCCCUUACUGAUUCCAAUUCUAUCUUUAAUUAGUUUGAUUAUUUUAUACAUUGGUCAUAUAUUUUUUAUUAUUUACAUUGUUACUUAAUGGAAACUGACUCUCAAAUUUAAAACGAUAGGUUAUCAAAAAUCAAAAUGUGAAAGAGUGUGUGAGUUCUAUUUUAAUUGAUAAUAUGUAUGACAGAAUUUCUCUUCAAGAACUUUUGGGAAGGAAAAAAGUGAAAUUAGUAUCUCAAUAAAUUAAAACUAAUUUAUUAAUAAAUUAAUCUAUUGACAUUAUUUUACGUAGCUUCUUAAAAGAGUUAUUUUUAACUUACGUAUAAUGCCAUUUUAGUUUAUGAAAAACUUUAUGUAUUUUUACUUUUACAUCUUAAAAGUUGUUAAGGAGAAACUCAUAUUACUUUAAAGACUACUAUUACAUAUUUAGGCAGAGUAUACGAUUUACACAUGGUAGGGAUUAUCAACCAAAAACAUUACCUACUCACGGUUAUACCUACAAAAAUCAAAGCAAGUUUUCUUUUUUUUAAUCAACAAAGAAUAAAUAUAAUUAUAUUGGAUCACUUGGUUGCUCUAUCCCAUUUACAUAAUAUAUACAUAAAUUAUUUUUUUCUACAUUAGUCAUAACGUUCAUUUGAAAAAUUUUCUAAUAUAAGAAACUUUUUUUAUACUAAUUAAAGAAUCAAUAUAUAAAAAUAAACGAUAUAAAAAAGUUUUAACUUUUCUAUGAUGAUUCAUAAUUGGCAUAGGAAGUUUCUCUUUUUCAUAUUGAUUAAUAUCACAAUCAAUAUAAUAAUAUGAUGUUUUCUUUUUCUUUUCCUCACCUAUGAACACAACAUAUUUAGACACAUCAACCAUGAAUCCAAAGCAAAAUCAAAAACUAAAAAAAUAAUUAUUCACUAAUUAAACACCCCACCAAUUGCAUCCGUUGUCAUCGUCAACGUCUGGCACUUCUUUAGAGCCUUUGAAUACAUAAUCACCACUUCUUCCCCUAAGCAUUCUUUCCAAACAAAAACAACCAAGGUGCAAGAACUUCAAAGAACCUCUAAGUCGUCGCUCCGUGCUUAUAAUUGUGGUCGUCAACGUUUCGCUGACAUAACCUUCUUCUCUCUUGAGGGUUUCUCCAAAUCUCCCAAGCUUUUAUCUCCUCAUGCUUUGUUGCCAAUACAUUGUGAUGCUUACAACUAGAGGUGUGGCAUCGCUUCGUCACCAUCAUCAAAGUUGUUUGUUGGUGCUGGCGCAACCUCUCUACUCCUUCCACUUCAUAUAAGUGUCUUCCUUCUCGACGAAAUUUUUCAUCGAUAAAUCUGUCGAUAAUACAUACUAAAUUUAUCGACGAAAAAAAUCUAUCGGUAAUACAUAUUAAAUUUACUAACGGAAAGGUUCGUCGGUAAAUCCAUAAGAAAAUACAUAUUAAAUUUAUCAAAGGAAAAAUAUGUCGGUAAAUCCGUUGGUAAUACAUAUUUAAUUUACCGACAGAAAGUCCAUCGAUAAAUCCGUCGAUAAAAAAACGACAAAUUUGCCGCCCACUCUUUAUCUCUUUUCGUGAACUACACAUUACUUUUUCUCUCUAUUUCUUUCCAGACCCAUUUCUUAUCUCGUUUCACAUCCUCAAACACCACUUUUCUUUUAUUUUCAAAACCCUCUUCAUCUUCUUUUCUCUUCCGUGAGGGUAGUCCGUCAUCUCUCCUAUUUUUUCCAUCUAAGCUUAGAUUACCGCAACUCCAAGCCCAUUUGAUGUGCCUCCAUAUUUGUUUAGCCAAACCACCAUCUAUGUUGUCAAGCUUGCAUUAAUGGAAAAUAAGUAUUCCUUCCUACACCUCACCUAUGUCAUCCUACACCUCCCAAUACCCUUUUUGCCCUUCAUUUAUUAAAUUUGAAAAAAUUUAAAUGACAUUCUGACCAAUCUUCUGUACUUUUGUUAUGAAUGAGAGAGAAGAUGAAAAAUGGUUCUUCAUUAACUUUUGACAGUGUUCACUCACUAUUUAGCUCACUUCUAGACUCUAAGCCAUAAUCUGGCUUCUCCACCUACACCCAUCACCAGCUGCACCCUUUUUUGACACUUCCAAGAUGUACCGUUCUUUAUUAUGAACCCACAAAACUCUUUGGUGGCUUAUAAAACCUACAUUAUGGAUAGAUAUUUGAAAAUGAGGAAGUUGUUGUUGUGGUCACUAUUGAUGGCGAGGUUCUGUCACACAUGAGCAUCCAACUCCAACUACGGUGAGCGUCAAUCGCAGAUCCAAGUGGGGCGAGCAUUAACCGCAGAUCCAAGUGCGGCGAGCAUCAACCGCAGAUUCAAGUACGGAGAACAUCAAUCGCAGAUCCAAGUACGGCGAGCGCCAACCGCACUUUCAAGUGCACUUUCAAGUGCGGCUACCAUGAACCGCAUCUUAACCUCACUUCUAGGUGUGGUAAGGUCUUCAAUCGCAUAACCACCGCUACAAGAGCUUACCCCACCACACAUCCACCAAAAAUAAGUCUGUGAGAAUGAAAAGCGAAACUGCAACAAAUAAAACGAGGGAAAGAGGGAGAGAAACACUCUGCAAAAAGAGGGAAGGAGGGGGAGAAACACUCUUAAAAAGAAAAAGAGAAGAAAGAAAGGGGUGUAGGAAAAUAUGAAAUGUGACAAAGAGAGAAAGAACAAAGUGCCUCAUGAGUGGGUCAAAUAAAAAAAAUAUUUAAAAAUGUUAUCUGAUAAGGAGACAAUUAAAAAUAUAAAAAAAAUAAAGAACUGGAGAAUGAGAUUAGUAAGAUGUAGAGAGAAUCACUCAUGAAAAAUAGGAAAAGAACAUGGAUUAUACGUCUCGGUUUCAUAAAACCGAAAUACACGUCGGUUUUAUAAGCAUAAACUUCAUUCUACCUCGGUAAGAUUCCAACUCGAAACGUAAUCUUUGGUCAUUUCCCCCUCAAACAAUCAAAUCAACUAAAAACCUCUACAACACUGGUUCCCAGCAGAACCGAGGCAGUAGACUGCCUACGACACCGGUUUGUGCAGACGCGAGACAGUACUGUCAUUCAGACUGUUGAAGCCUUCUAACGUUGGAGUGGACUACUUUUAUACUUCGGUUACCAUUAGGACCGAGAGAUAAAGUGCGAGUAUUGGCACCGGUCAUUAGAAAACCCGAGGCAAUAGGUAUUUGUCAAGUUUUAGACUUCAUUUUCACUUAGGACCGAAGCGUAAAGCUUGAAUAUAGACUGAAAUUGAAAGUAUGACUGAGGGUUCUUAUUCUUGCUUCUUUUGCUUAACUGUGUGUAAGUACUUUUUAGAUUGAUUACGAAUAAUUUUUCUGUGGUUUAUUGGGAGAACUCUGGUUGCUUAGAUUCUGUUGUGAGUUAUUUUUCUUGUUUUGCUUUCCUUUGUUUUCCAUGAGUUUCAGAUUUCCUAUUUCUACUCUUCCUUCUAGCUAAAACACGUCUAAGCUUUCUAUCUGCCUACUCUAAUUUUUCAAUAAGCAUGAGAAGAGUAAACGUGGUAAUUUUUAAAAGUUUCAUACCUGAGUAAACAACUUAAAGAAUUAUCAGAAUUUUUUUGGAUUUAAAUACUUAAAUGAAAUAAAGAGAGACAAAAGAUUAAAAAAAAAUACUGAUAUAAUUUAUUUGUUUAUAUAUUUUUUUGUUGAUUAAAAGACAAGAGGCUGUCUUUAGUUAUUGUGCUUUCUGCAACCUAAAAUAAUUGUACUUUCUGCAACCUCUUUAAGAUCUUUGCAGAGCAGAAAUUUAUUAUGCUUUCUGCAUCUCAUCUAACUUCUCUUCUCUUUAUGCCUAUUUUAUUUUCAUCAAAGAAAGAUUUCAGCAUUAUUAAUUCAUCUUUUUUUCGCAAACGGAUAAAUUAGAUAUUAAAAUUAAAUAACUACUCUAUUUGUGAACUGCUGAAUAAGUAUUUCAAAAACCAAGUGAUCUAUUGUCCAUGGAUAAAUCUAUCUAACACAGCCAUUUACAUAAUGCUAUAUUUCUUGAAAAAGAUAAUAAUUAAUGCUUACACGUGCUUUUUGUUCUAAUUCUGCGGCAUUGAAGAUUUUUUUAAAGAUCUAUGGAAAAAAUCAAUUAACUACACACAUUAUAUUAUAAUAUGUAUGUAUGUAUGAGAUAAGCGACAAGACACUUAUCAAGUUCCUCCAAAAUUGACUUUAGUAUUCUCCAUAUUUAUAUAAGAGCAAAGUAUUAUUCUCCAUGAAGGUUAUGUAUCAUAAAAACAAUAAGAAAAAUAAAGAUGACUUAUAUAAUUAUAAUAACAUUUUUAAACAUUUAUUACUUUUAGUGAUAAAAAAUAAUUAGUCAUUAUAAUGUCCUAAUUAUACCCAUUUCACCAAUUGUAGAAAUUACUUAGUUUAUGAGUAAAAAUAAAAUUAGUUUUGUUGCAAUGCGUUAUUUGUUUUUGUCAAGAUAUUGUUGAUUGGUUUUCACGUUCUCGGAUAAGUCCUUGAAUAUAUUAUUUGUUUGAAUAUAUUGUAUGUUGCAUAUGAAAUUAUUUGAUUAUUUGAAUAUAUUGUUUGCUUACUUUGUUGUAUUUUAUAUAUGUAAUUAUUUGUUUGCUUCAAUAUAUAUUGUCGUUGUAAAAUAGUCUUUGUUUUCCGUUUGAGAUUCAAUACAAAAAUUAUUUACUAUCUCCAGAUUUUUUGAACAAAUGUACUUUUUACAAAUGAACAGAGAGAUAGUAAUAAUAAUUUACAAGUAUUGAAUCUUGAAUUGUCCGGUUGGACAGUUUAAGAAGAGUAAUAACUUUUGCAUAGUUUAUUAAUACAUAUAAAUUUUAAUACAUAUAAAUUCUAAGUUGUUUUAUGAUUUUGUACAUCAUUAGUAGUUUAACUUUGUACAUUAGAUUGAUUUAUCAUUACAUUAUAUUGAUUUAUGCUUCCAAGAAGUUGAUUUUUGAUUACAUUAAAUGUAUGUGUAUUUUAAUAUAAUUUUCAUUCAAAAUAUUCUGGAUUAUUUUGGACUAUUCUGACUGUAAAAUUAUAUGCAGGCUUGUUUCUGCAGUUGAGAAUGUUGCAGAAACAUACCUGUUCUUAAAAAAAAAAACAGGAGAAUAUGCACUGGUUCAUGCUACAACCGAGGUAAAAAGUAAACCUAUGGCACCGGUUCAUGCGACAACCGAGGCAGAAAGUAACCCUAUGGCACUGGUUCAGUACUAAACCGAUUAACCGAGGCAUAAAGUCCAACAAAAAAGAAUAUUUAAAAAAAUAAAAUAUGUUACUACUUCGGUUAGUUUUGAACCGAGGCAAAAUCCUGCUAUUUUAUGCCUCGGUUCGGAACCGAGGCAUAAAGUCUACCACUUUUUACCUCGCCGAAUAUGCCUCGAUUCAGGAACCGGUGCCUAUUAGCAAAAAUAACCGAUUUCUUUUCCCCUGACUGCACUAGUGUUGGGAUCUUUUGCUUCAUCUUCUUCUUCUCUAACUCGUACAAGGGAAGGAUCGUGGUUCAAUUCUUCCUCUUUCAUGCAAGGUCACAUCCAAGCCAGGUGCAUUAUCGUCGUGCCACGCACUGGCACCAACGUGCAUCAUCGUUGGACAAUGAUGGAUUUGAAGCCAACAAAAUCUUUUUAUUCUCUUUUCUCUCUUUUUUAUUUGUAUUUGUGGUGAAAUAAUUUGCUAGGUUGGCUAUAAUUUUUUGUAGGUUAUGAAAUUGUGUGAAUUUGUAUGAAAUUGUUGAAAUAAUAGUUGGGUGAUAAUAAAAUUGGGUAACAAACCAAAGCGGGAUAGUGAAUAAAAGCAUACCGAUGAAAUUUUAUGCAUAAAAUUGUAUCAACUUAUGUAAUAUUUGAUUAUAAUGUGUCCAUAAGGUUUUGUAAUACCUACACCUGUGGUGCAACAGGUUUUGUAAUGCCUACACAUGAAGGUAUAAAGGUCAUAGCUUGUAGCACACUCUUUGUAAUACCUACACUUGUGGUGCAUCAGGUUUUGUCUUUUUGUAAAUUCUUUAUGUAUUGGUGUUACUUUUGUUGGUUAGGCAAGGCUUCUAAAGGAAGUGUGUGUAGCCUCUUAUUUAAGAAUGUGUUUUGUUGUGAUUGAGAGAGUGAGAGUAUAUUAAGUGAGUCUUGUAUUCUAUAAAUCUUGACAUUUGAUUUUAGUGAAUUUUCUUCAACUCAAGUUGUUGAAAAAAAAUUCGAUGUAAAUUUUUUAAAAGUUAAAUCGAUAUAAAUCUUCUGUUGUUUUCUUUCACUAAUCUUGUUAAUCUUUGAAGUGUUAAAAAAUUGAUUACACCAAUUUUUUUUUUUAAAGAAAGUUAAAAGGAAUUUUCAAAUCAAUUCACUACCUCUUAGUUUUUUAAUAUAUUUUUUCAAAAAAUUUGAAAAAUUAAUCUAUUAAUUUAUAAAGAAAGUAAAAAAUUAACAAAAGUAGUAAAUGAUACUAUAUUGUAUAUCAUAUGGGUAUUUAUAUGGGUAUAUUGUAUAUAGUAAAUCAUACUAUAUUGUAUAUUUUAUGGCUAUUAUAAAAAUUAUAUCAAAAUUACCUGGUCGAGUUCGUCCUUAUCUAAUUAUUGUACUUUCAUUUAUGUAAUAUCUUAUACCUACUCGGCACGAGGCAUAAGUUGAUUUUCCUUUUUUUUAUAUUUUUAUAUAAUAAUUGAACUUUAAUUAAUUUGACAUAAAUAUAAUUAAACACUAGUAAAAAAACACUUUUUUAACGUGCUAUAUGCGCUUUACAUUUCUACGAAACCGAAGUAUAUAAAAAUGCGUAAAUAUGAUGAAAUUAUAUGUCUUGGUUCAUUGGAAUACUUCCACUAAAUUUAUUCCUCUGAAGUCAUUAAACUUAUGUUUAGUGAGCAUCCCAUAUUUUAGUUCCAGACGAAAUAAGUUUCCUCAUACGAAAGAGUUUCAAUGGUUGAAUUUUAAUUAUAGGACAUUUUUAGCUCAAAAGAAAAUAUUAUAGCUUAAGCGAAAAUAUCUAGCUCAAACGAAAAUUGUUUAGCUUAAGCGAAAAUGUCAACAAAACUUGUGUUUUGGUUUUCUGCAAAUCUCGCUCAGGCGAGAGAGUUUAACCUAAGCGAAAAUAAUGCAGUUAACACCAUUAAUUUAUAUUUAACGGGGAGAUGACUUGAUUAACACAAAUAUUUUCUAUAUGGAGACGAAAUUGACAUUUUUCUAAAAGAGAGACAAAUUUGACACACUUCAACCAAAUUGAGGACAAAAGAAAUAAUUAAACCUUAAUUAAAAAAACGUGGUGCUAUACAUACAUCAUAUUGAACAAAAACAUUAAAAUAGUAUAAAAAAUAAGGUCAGAUACGAUUUUACAAAUAAAAUAUGGUAUUAAUUUAACACAUUUUAAUUUGUUAAAAUAAAAUUGUGUAAGUUAACACAAAUUUAAUUAAAAUUUAAAAAAAAAUUACAAUACACUUUCGGUUCAUAUAAUAAUAAAUUAAAAUUAUAUUAAACUAACACAAUUUAAUUAAAACUAAAACAAAAGUUAUAAUAUAUCUUAAUCUAAUACAAUUCUAUUUAAUUGACAUUAAUAUUAAAAAAAUUACAUUACAACACGACUUCUCUCCUUCUCAUAGAAAGUGACAUAAUUUGAUAUUUCUGUAAUUAUUUUAAAACUUGUAGCUAGUAAUAUCAAAGCGGGUCACCUAGUUUCGGCUUGGUUUAGUCCAUUACAGGUUGGUAAUUUUGUGAGUCAACUUAGGGUGUUUCUUCCUAUAUCUCCCCAAAUGGGACUUGUACCUCCCUAUUAAUUUAAUUUAUUUCAAAAAUAUUUUACACCUCCCUAUUAUUUUCUUUUAUUCCAAAAAUACCCUAUACCUCCUCACUAUCCUUAACAAUCUUUCUCUUUCUCUCUCUACAUUAAUGGAGCAUUUACAUGGCUUAUUAAUGGAGCAUUUACAUUACUUAAAUUUGAAGUUAGAUAUAUUUUCUUAAAUAAGUUUGAUUCAAUCUUAUUUUCGUUGUUGAAUAUAUUUUUUUCUUUUUAAAUUACUUAAUAAAUAGUAAAAUUUUGUUCUAAAUUUUUAGAAAAAUGUUUAUAUACAUGUAUCUUUUUUUUUACAUAUAAUAUCUAUAAUUUUUAACAUUAUANUAUGUUUUAACUCACCGACAUGUUUGACUCAAAUACUUGAAUAAAAUAUUUAAUUUAUUAGAUAAAUAAUAUAAAAAUAUUAUUAAAUACUUAAAAUAUAAAAAAAAGUUAUUUGUUAAAGGUUUAGAAUUUAUUUAGUUCUUUCGUCAUUAUAAAGUUAGUAUAUAAUAAUAAUAAUAAUAAUAAUAAUAAUAAUAUAUCAUUAUUUACUAUUAAUAUUAUUAUGUUUAUUAUUUUGUAUUUGCGUCUAACUUUUAAUUUUAUAAAAUGGAAAUGGUAGAAGUACUACUAUUCAAGUUUCCUCUGAAUUUUAUAUUUUGUAGUAUGUUACAAAUUCAAAUCUGAACCACGUGAAUGGUCCAUUAAUGUAGAGAGAGAAAGAGAAAGAUUGUUAAGGAUAGUGGGAAGGUGUAGGGUAUUUUUGAAAUAAAGAAAAUAAUGGGGAGAUGUAGAAUAUAUUUGAAAUAAAUUAAAUUAAUGGGGAGGUACAGGUCCCACUUGGGGAGGUGUAGGGAGCAACACCCGUCAACUUAACCUGACUCAUUUAUUAGCGAGCUCGAGCCACCAUAGGCUAGUGAGGUAAACGGAUUGACUUAUUAACUCACUUAAUUAUAAUUUUUUAAGUAUAAAAAAAAUUACAAACUAUUUGUAAUUCAAAUCUAAAUAAAUUUCAUUUCCAAAACGAGGUUAAACUCAAGACAAUUCAAAAUAAUAAAAAAAAUACAAUACAAUCCAAUAUAAUGAUCCGAAUAGUAUUUUUUAGGAUUUUAUAAGAAAAUAAAUUAAUAAAAAUAAAAUUAGAUUGGUUGGCUCACAACCCGGCUCAUCACAGGUUCAACCCAAAUGAAUUGAGUUUAAAAAAUACAUUUUUUCCAACCCAACUGAAUCCAAAUCCAUGAUGAACCGGAUUAACUUGCGGGUUAUAACCCAUUUUGAGAGGUCUUAUUUUGAGAAACUUUCUCAAAAUAAGCAAACUUAUGGAAAUUUAAAAUUUUGACAACUGCUAUAAAAGCUCCUCAACAUGUGAGAGAAAUAACAAAAAGACCUUUUCCAACAUCGUUACACAAAUCAAAUGAUCCCAUUGUACUCUNUAAUGGGCCAAAUCCAUAGGAAGUCCAUNAAGGGUGAGAGAAGAAGACCCUUGAACAAUGCAAAAUCACACACUAUUUACAACAUACCACUAUCAGUAAAUGUCAAAUAGGUCCCAACAAAAACUUUAAGCCUACUACUCUUUUCGGAUCCACAUAAAAACUUUAUAUAUAGUUGGUUACUAGCAUUUCCUAUAAAUCCUUCAUCAGGUAUAUUUAAGGCUACUUUGUUUUUAGUGAGAUCCAUAUGAAAUUGACCCAAGAAUAAUUUGUUAGAAAAAAGUUCACUGCUAGCAUUUCCUAGAAACCCCCCAUCACAUACAUAAACUUGCAUCCCACAAAGCCAUAAAAAAGGAAAUUAUUUACAAACCUUAGGGCUAAUCUAGCAGCCAGCUGUNUGUCUUUCAACCUUANGCAGUAUUGCAUCCAUUAACUUUCCNUCAUCAAUCAGUCUAAUAAGAAAGCACAAAGGACAAUAAGUAACAUGUAAAUUGCUAAGAAACGCAAGAUGCAAUUAUUAAAUGUCUCAACUAUAUAUAAAGAAAAUACAUGAAUAUUCAGAAUAUCGAUACAAACACUGACUGUACAGUUGUGUGUAUCAUGUUUGCAUUGAUUAUACUAAAUUGGUAACAUUCUAGUUUCAGUGUAAUGGAACUUGAAAAAACUACAGUUUGAACAACAAUUUGAACUAUAUAUAAUACCAUUCUACAACCUUUCAUAUGGUUGCUCAUUAUCCCAAUCAAAGGAAAGGAAAAUUGUCGUGUCAAGUUGAAAGCCUUCAAAUUUUGUGGAAAAGCCAAUUAGGCUCUACUUUAGCAGAGCAUCUAGUGCAAAUGCAUUGUUAAGUGAGAAGGAGAGUAUUCGACUCUAAAUUAAUUACUUGGAAAACCUACGGUACCAUGUCAAACAAUCGCAUACCUUCAAAACUAAAACAACUAGUCAAGGAAAACGAAAGUGUGUGUUUUGUAUNUGUGUAUACAAUUCAAUUAAAAUAACAAAAGCUUUCAUGGGCAAUAUAGUUGACUUCGGCCCCUAAAAUCAAUUAGUUUGGGAUCCAAAUUGAAAACAAUGUAGCUUUGCCAAAAGAUUUUACUUUUCAGAACAAGUGGAAAGGAUGUUGUAAUGAAUCAUUAGUUUGGGAUCCAAAUUGAAAUCUUGUCUAGUGAAUAACUAUAAUCUUGGCCAGUUGAAAUAUGCAUAAUGCUCUAUGCCAGUUGCUGCCGGUUUCACUCCACCCCAAUAGCUAGCUACUGCAUGUUAUACAUAAACAUUUCUGUUAAUAAACAGAGGAACCAAUUAAGAAUUUAGAAACUUGAUUAGGUAAGGUACUUGAACCAUAAUGAAAAGUCGUAAAGGAUCCAUGAUCAUACUUCACAUCUUUCUAAACUGCAACACCGUGCCUCAAUCGAAAUCUAGUAACAAGGCAACAACGUCUUGCAAACCACACCACAGAGUGUUAUGUUCCAAUGAAAGAAAGAAAAAAGGGAUUAUGGCUUUCCGAUUUUAGAAAUUUAGGGUUCUAGGGAUUAGUAGUAAUAUCAACGAACAAAGUGAUUACUUACCAGAUGAACAAACUCUGUGAGUGUCAUCUUCAUCGCGAGAAGAAUGAGAGCGUCACCGAGACCCACAAACUUUAUGAGUGAACGCGACACAAUGGUGAAUGAGACAAGAGUGAGGUGAGACGACAGUGAGUGAAGGAACAAGAUUAGGGGGUGAGGUGAAAGUCGGCGACAAUGAACGAGGGCACAGGACUAGGGUUCAUGAGCUGAUGUUCUUCACUUGCGUGUGAGUUGAAGUUCGUGAACUGAGUGAGGGGGAGGAUAGGCAACUGCGAGCGAGAGUCAUGGGAAGUCGUUGCGAUUGUGAGCGAGAGUCAGGAAGUAGGGAGGGUAGUUGCGAGAGUGAGUGAGAGUGAGGAAGGUCAGAGAUUUGACCUUGUUUUGGAGCUCGAAGAGGGUUUUGGUCUUGGCGUUAGCAACGAGCCACUCUUCGAUCUGUCUCUUCUUCUUCUACACUCUCCUUCCAUGCUUUGGCCAAGAACCCUAGAAGAAAGGUUUGCACUUGAGAACCCAUAAAGAUAUUCUGUGUGACUAAGCGAGAGGGAGGGAGUGCGAGUGCAACGCGAGAUUGAAUGAAAAAGAUGACGAAGCUUGAGAGAGAGCGAGACUGAGGGAGGAAGAUGAUGAAAUGAUUCGGUGAGAGUGAGAUGGGUUUGCAAGAGGGAGGGAGCACGAGAGUCUUAGUGAAUUCAGGGAGGGAAAGGAGCGCGAGAGUAAAGGGGGAAACAUAUUUGGGUGAGUGAUAUUUUCCAUUACAUACGAGAUCCAUAUGUACCAUCCGUAUAUAAUAUGUUCAUUACAUAGGGAUUUAAAUUCGUAUGUAAUAAUCUGCAGAUAAAUGAGUAUUUUCUUGUAGUGUCCUCAAAUUUCUUCAUAUACUCCUUCCACGCACACCAUUGAGGCAAUCGCGAUCUCCAGCUCGGGGGCGGACUCCAAAUCCGCUGUCCUCGCUUGCAAGACAAUAGCGAGCCUUGACUUUCAGUGACACCGACUUCUCCUCCGCCCUAACCUAGUGGUCAUUCCCUCUUCACUAUUAGACCCAGAAUAAAGCAUCUUCUUUCUCCCCCACAAUUUCGACAUGACUCUAAUGGGCCUUGACCAUCAACGACGUCAAUGAGAACCGUCGCGCAUUAGCCACUAACCAUUCCUCCUCCGUACGAGCUCACUGCAAGAUCUUCGUCAUUAAAGUCCUCGUCUUCUUGCCGCUCACUGAACUGGUUAAGGAAUUUAAAGGUUUACGUAUAAAGUCGAACGGUAUGAAGUCGAACGGUUUGUAAGGAGGAAUAAGAAGGGAGGAAAGUAGAGGUGAGUCUAAAUUCAGUAGAAGCUGAACAGUAUGUAGUCGAAUGGUAUGCAAGGAUGAAUAAGAAGGGAGGAAAGUAAAGGUGGGUCUAAAUUCAGUAGAAGUUGAAUGGUAUGUAAAGAGGAAUUAGAAGGGAGGAAAGUAGAAGCGGGUCUAAAUUCAGUAGAAGUCGAACAGUAUGUAAAGAGGAAUAAGAAGGGAGGAAAGUAGAGGCGGGUUUAAAUUUAGUAGAAGCCGAACAAUAUGAAGUCGAACGGUACGUAAAGAGGAAUAAGAAGGAAGGAAAGUAGAGGCAACCCUAAAUUCAGUAGAAGUCGAACGGUAUGUAGCCGAACGGUAUAAAGCCAUGGGUAACCAUGUUCAACUAUUAAACAAUAAGUAUAAAUACAAACCUGGGAGGGAUUUUUAAUAAGUAAGCCUCAUCAUUGAGCUCUUUUAUAUUUCUUAUUUCUGAUUCCCAUGUUUGUGGAUGGGUUGUUGUAGUUGCCUUCCACAUCAAAUGCUUGAGAUGUUUUCCAGGGAAUUUUUUUCUAAAAUUUGCGUAUAGGUGUCUAACACAGAAAUGUUGAUCAAGUCCAGGAACCACUUCUUAUGCAGCUUGCAGUAGUCCCUGUUGAAUCAAAUUAUGACAGUGUUGUUAGAAACAUGAUUUCAGUAUGAAUCUUAAUGAACAUAAUGGGGAAAAGGUCAUGUGCAUUACCUUUUGCUGGUCGGACAUGAAUGUAAAUGAUGAACUGACUGCCUCCCCACCAAAAUCUUCAACCAUAAAUUCAAGGAACCAUCUCCAAGUAUCCUUCACUAAUGGAAAAAUGACAUUUAUGACGUACAAAAAUGACCUAUUAUGACGUAGUUUCUAGGGGACAUAGUUUCGAACGUAAUAAUAAGUCUGCCCAUUUUAUGACGUAGCAGAAAUUUACGUCAUAAUAGCUUGAACAUAUUAUGACGUAGUUUUUGAAAUCAGUCAUAAUAUGCGCGAAAGAGACGUAGAUUUGUUGAUACAUUAUAAUAUGUGCUUUUUAGAAACCAGCGUAUUAUGAUGUACAUUGUUUAGUACGUCAUAAUAUAUGUUUUUCUAAAAAAAAUUGAUUAUUACAAUUGACAUCCAAUGAAAUUAUAAUCAUGUUCCUGUAUUAUCAUCUCAUCCAAUCAAUUUAUAAUCAAUAUAAUUUCAAAUGAAUUCAACGGAACUAACAAAAUAGAAUUCAUUUCAAACAUUAAAUUGUCUAAUAAUAUUUAGUACAUCAUUUAUACAUGAAACUAUAUAUUAAAUUCGAAUAUUAUAUCAUACACUAUAGAAUUGUAGCCAAGUUUCUACUAACACUUAUAAUAAAAGAAGCCCGGUUCCUUCUAAUGUCUUCAAUGUCUACCGGAGAUGAAUCAUUAAAGAUCUACAAAUAAAACAAUAGAGUUAAACAAUAUUGUAUUGUAAUGAAUAGUUAGAUACGUAUUUAGUUAGUUUUUUAAUACCUUAUUCCAUGAUUCAGUUUGUACAAAUAAUGGUAUGUAUGUGUUUUAUUACAUAAUAUCCACGCUCAUAGUUGCCCAAUUGACGUCAACACUGCAAAUUAAAUACAAAUAAUCAAGACUCGUUGAAACCAAGGACACAAAAUAUCAUAUUAUACUCUAGCUAACCUUUGCACCAUGUAGCUUUGAUCAAUUUUCCUAAACCAAAUUUCUCAAAACCAACAACACAACCAAUUCCUCAUAAAAAUAGCAAUCACAAAACACAAAAUAAAGGUCAAUUUCUCUUACAUUAGGUGUGAUUAUUUGCAUCUUCUUCCUAGAAAUAGAUGGAACACCCUGCAACCUUCAAUGAGCUUCCAAAGACCUAUACAAAAGAUAGACAUCCAUUACAUCAUCAUCAUCAUCAUCAUAUCAUAAUAAUAAUAAUAAUAAUAAUAAUAAUAAUAAUAAUAAUAAUAAUAAUAAUAAUAAUAAUUAUAAUAAUAAUAUAAGAAGGAAUCAAAAUAGAAAGAAAAACUUAUUCUUCUAAUAUAUUUUUGAUGUAUAAUAUGCUAGCUUUCUUAUGCAAGGAACGGUAAGUUAUGAAAUUUGAAAAAUGAUAUAAUAUUCAAAACAAUCAUAAAAUUUUAUGAGAAUUUAAUUUUCAAAAUAAUUUAAUAAAUAAAUUAUGACUUAAUAUGCAGAAGAUUCUCAUACAGAUUUUAUAAUUUCGGUUUGCAUAUCAUAUUUCGUUUUACCCAAAUAGAAUAUAUUUUGAAGCCUGAGAGAGGGUAUUUUUACUUUAUGAAAUUCUCAAACCUCAAAUCGGAAGGAAAGAAACAUAAGAUGUUCAAAUUACUUUUCGAAUAUUCUUUCUCUCUCUAUAUAUAUUACGUAAAACUAAAUAAGAAUAAUAAUAAGUAAUUCAAUAAAAGAUAAAAUAAUAUAUCAAACAAACAAAUCGAUAAAUUUUAACUUGAUUUUGAUAUUAUAUUAAAAAAUAAAUUUUAAAUUUAUUUCAAUUCUACAGAAUAUAAAUGAGAUUUGAUGCUGUUUAUUUAUUCAUUCUUUCUAGUAUUAAUAAUGAUGGAUGAACUUCCACCAUAAGACAUCACUUAAUAAUAUGUAAUAAUGCACGUACUGGAAUAUAGGCAGUUGUCAGAAUAGGUAUUUAAUAUAGUAGUUGUUAGAAUAGGUAUUUAAUGUAGUUGUAUUGGAAAACUAUGAUAUCUUGUUCCUCUGAGCUGCUGGAACUAUGAUAUUCACCCAUCCACUGAUGUAAAUGAGUGAUGCUCCCUUAAAUUCGUCCAUGAGAAUACUCACAUGGAUCAGACAGAACAUAGUGUUAGUAAAAGUGGUCCAACCAAGACAGAUAAGAAGAAAAUGAAAUGAAAUUGAGAUGAAAUUGAGACAGAUAAGACAUAUGCUGAUUAUUUUUCUUAUCUGAUAUUAAGAUACUUUUGCUGGUUUUGUAUGUUGCUUGUUCUUCAACCAAUUUAGGUUUUUUAAUCUGUAUUUUGAAGAAUGAAAUGCUUAAAGACUAGAAUCAAAUCAUUGUUAUGAGAAAAGAUACUUAAAUUUAAGCAAAGAAUUCAAAGGGAUGUCAGAUAUCUCUAACUAUGCACCAUCCAGAUAAGUCAAUCCCACAGGGAUAUUAAUUCCAUCAUGUCAGAAAGGUUUCAUAACAAUCAGCCAAUAUAUAUAUAGAAACCACAACUUCAUUGUAUAACAAAAAUUAUUACACGGUUUUAUAUUACCUCAAAUUGUAAAAUCACCAAUGUUAUAUGAGAAAAAAAGGAUAUUCACUGCACAGUCAUUGUAAAUAAUGAUAAAAAAAGGAAAUUGCAUAGUGAACAUUUCAUUAUUCAGUGAAUUAAGAUUGAUAUACGUAGUAGUUGAAAGAGUGGGUCAUGCUAACAAGUGCCAUGAGGGUACUGGUUAAAGAGCAUUAAAUACAGCCAAUGAAAUGCUUUUAGUUAUUUAACUGAAUUAUUUAAUAACUUGUGUGUUUUUGGUAUACUAAUACAAACAUGGUUCAGACAUUGUAACAAUCAUGUUAUGAGCAUUGUUUUUGAAGGUAGAAUUACAAACCAACAAUGAAUUUGAUCAAUCAGAUGAUGCACAACACAAUGGAAGUAAGAAAGUUUGAUACCAAAAUAAGAGCAAAUUUAUAUCAUUAGCAUUUUGAAUGAAAUUCUCUCUUUCUAUUUCUUAAAUCUCUUGUUUAAGAAAAUAAGAAACGUGGAUCUGUCAACAAAGUUGAAAAGAGGAAAAACAAUGUCUCGGAACAAUACUAUUUUUCAGAUUUUUUUAAUUAUAUUUUAAUUUAUUAAAGUUACUGAACUAGACAAUAGUAACUUGGUUCAAGUCAAGAUCAAAGCGUAAGUAAUAAUACUAACCUUCCAAAGAACCUAGGUUAGCUCCUACCUUCACUCCUAUGGAGCUUUCUUUGAAGUGGGUCCAGAGAGGGUCCAAUCACUGCUUGACCGAAAUAAACACUGAGGAUACCAAUUUCAAUAAGUGAAAAAUGAAGCAAAAGGAAAAAUAAUCGGUUAAAAGGUGAGAAAAGAUACGAAGAAACCCUAACAGUUGAGGGUGAAAGAUGCUUACUGCUUGAACUGUAGUUCAACGAGAUGAUGAAGAGGCAGCGACAACCCUCAAUGAUGGAGACAGAGAAACGUCGUGAGCCUACGCGAACGAAAAAUGUAUCACGUGAGAGUGAAGAAGAGAGGAGAGGAAGAGAAAUUAGGGAAGAGUGAACGAAAGUGAGACAGUGAGACUGAGCAUGAAAUGAAAAAAAUCUGAGAGAGAUAUGUUAUGACUGAUUUCUAAAACUCGGUCAUAGUAGGUUUUGAAAUUAUUUACAAGUUUGUCACCGCAUUUUUUAUUAUGACUGAUAUCUAUAACUAUGUAAUAAUAUAUUUUAAACUUAUUUGCAAGUUUGUCACCAUGUUUUAUAUUAUAACUGAUGUACAAAAGCACGUCAUAAUAUAUCUAACUUUUAUUACGAUUCUACCACCGAUCAACCUAUUAUAAUGGAUGAUUUUCGUCCGUCAUAAUAGGUCGUCAUAGUAUGUUAUUUUUCCACUAGUGCUUGUUCUCUACUUUCACCACGACCUACACAAGAGGUAACAUUUGGUCAUUUACGUCUCUACUAACAGUAGUUAACAAUUCACUACCAUAUUUUCCUUUCAAAGAGGCACCAUCCAACCCAAUAAUUGGCCUGCAGGACAUAAAACUAUCCUUGCAGGCCUUCAGACAAGUAUAAAAACUUUUUAAAAUGGAUUCACCCUCAUUCUCUUCAACUUUAACUUUCACCAUUAAGCCUAGCUAAGGUAAUCACGUGCAUGGCUCCUAUGUCAUCCAACAAAGGCUCCAACCUAUUUUCUAAUAUAGAACCACCACCUAUGCAGUACCACAACUCCUUAAACCCAUCAUAACCUAGCCCUUUGACUACACUCACUACAAGGAAAUAACUCCACAUGUCUGGUUCAAACGACAAAGUUGUACUCUCCCCCUCAUAGUUAAGUUUUCCUUCAUUUAUGAACUUUCCACCAUGGUGGAAAACAACUUGGAAAUUUUCCUCCAUGACGUACAAAAGAAACUUAUAUUUAACCUAUAAAGUAAGCUGAAAACGACAACAACAAAAAUUAUUAAGAAUAUAUGUAAACCAUAUCCCAUUGAAAAAGACAAUCCAACUACACUUUAAUAUUGGAGGACCACAUUGCAAUAAAAAAAAAACAAAACAGGAUAGACCAUGCAACAUUGUGGGACAACCAUAAAAGUACAAAAUCAUCAAACAAUUCAAUGAAAAGCGCAUUAACUAACCUGAACACGUGAUUCACCUUGAACACUUUCGCCACUGCCUUCCAUGUGAUUCACCCCCAAGAGUUUACUGAUUCCACCAAUUUAGCUCCGCUGGAUCACUCCAAAAUCUUCACAUGAAACCUACUUUGUCACUACCUAUACAAUUUUUCACACCCACUCAACAAUUUGUCACCUCGAUAAAACCCUAUUUUCCCAAAAAUCCCCAAUAUCGCACCCAAUGAACAAUGAAAUGAAAAACCCCUUUCUGCUAAUCAAUUUUCAAUCCCUUAAACGUUGUGUUUUCAUUAUUUAAUGUUUUUUAUUUAAACCUUGCGUUUUCAAUUAUUUCAUUCAAGUUUUUUAAAUAUGUAAAUAAAACAAAUUCAACUCAACACACCAAACUCUGUCACGUCAGUAAAAGUUGAUAAUGUCAUCUUGCCACCCACAACAUUUUUUAACGUCAUCCAUCCAAUUUAACAGCGAGGACUAAGUUGGUUCAAUUUUACAUAAUAAAGGACCUAAUUGAAACUAUUUAGAAUACGAAAACUUAUUUGAGGCAAAGGAUGUUAGAAAUUAUUUAACCUAUAAUAUAUUUUUAUUACUAUACUUUAUUACUUUUAAUCUAAUUCAAAGAAAUAACGAAGAUUCAUUUGUUAAAUUAAAAAUAAAAAAUAAAAAACUGCCGCUCUCAAAAUUAUUAAAACGUUUUACCCAAAUGUUAUAAAUGUUUUGUCAGUCUCUUUAACACCACUGUAUUUUUCGUACCCUCCAAUAACACACCUUUGCUAGGUUGAUUCUUAACAUCCUUAUACAUUUAUUGCUGUCUAUCUUGCCAUUUUUAGCUCUUUCUUCUUCUUUUUUUUCGCCUUUCUCUCCUUAAACUGAACUCUCCAUACCUAACUAUAUCAUAUCUUUUCUUAAUUAAAAAAACGUGGUGCUACAUAGCAUCAUAUCGAACAAAAACAUUAAAAUAGUAUAAAAAAUUAGGUCAGCUUUAUACGAUUUUACAAUUAAAAGAUGGUAAUAAUUUAACACAUUUUAAUUUGUUAAAAUAAAAUUAUGUCAAGAUAAACAAAUUUAAUUAAAAUUUUAAAAAAAUUCAAUACACUUUCGGUUUAUGUCAUAAUAAAUUAAAAUUAUAUGAAACUAACACAAUUUAAUUAAAAUUAAAACAAAAGUUAUAAUAUAUCUUAAUUCAACACAAUCCUAUUUUAAUUCACAUUAAUAUUAAAAAAAUUACAUUACACUAGUGGUACCUGCACGACUUCUCUCCACCUCAUACGAAAGUGACAUAACUUGAUAUUUCUGUAAUUAUUUUAAAACUUGCAGUUAGUAGUUUGAAUCCAAUAUCUCAACAUGUUGAGUUAAUGCAAUUAUCAUAUGCAUUUUCUCUUGUGAUGUGCAUUAUCUGAGUGAAUAAAAGAGAUAUUAAUGACCGUAGUUUCUUCUGAUAGAUAUUUCUCUCUUUCAUUUCUUUCAAAAUUAUCCAAACAAAAAUAUUUGGUUUAAAAUUCUAUAUCAUAUCACAAGUACAUUAACAAUGGAAUCCAAAACUAACGACUGUAGCAAAACAAAAUUCACAACACAGAAGAAAAAAACAAUGGAGAUGAGAUGCACAGAAAAAUACCUUACACGAGCAUGGAAGUGAUGAAAGAAACUCGAAGGUGAAGAGAGAAGAAGAACAUUUAUACAAAACUACAUAUUGAGACCCAAAAUUUUAAAAUACUCGUAGAUAUUUUUUUUAAAAGAAUACACAUGUAGAUAACAUCAAGUACGGAUUGAUUAUUUUUCUUUUACGGAUAAGAUUGUGUAAACAUUAUCCGUAUUUGAUCUUACCUGUUGUCAUUUUUAAAUGUAGAGAAAAUAUUGUAUUGUCAUAAUAUAUAUAUAUAUAUAUAUAUAUAUAUAUAUAUAUAUAUAUAUAUUUAUAUAUAUAUAUAUAUAUAUAUUUAUUUAUUUUAUGUAUAUAAAAUGAGACAUUUAUCUUUUAACACUUUGUUAUGAAUACUAAACCAAAAUUACAUUAAAAUUUGAUGAUAUUUUCCCUACUAAUAUUUCACUAAUAAUAUGAAAUAUGUUUUUUUUUUGACAUUUUUUAAUAAUUAUAAUGAACUUACUUUUUUCCGUAUUAUAUGCUUCCAUGCUAGUUACAAAUUCACUAUAUAUAUUUCUUACUAAGAACUUUUUGAAAUAUUUGUAUAUAAGUAAAUUAAUAAAUAGAUAUGAAUAGAAUCAAAUUAUUGAUUUUUUUAAUAAAUUAAUAAAUAGAUAUUUGUAAAAUCAUACUACAUUGUACAUGGGUGUUUUUUUUUAAUAAUGUUGCUUAUUAAAAAAACUAUAUCAAAAUUACUCGGCCGAGUUUCAUCCUUAUGCAAUCAUUGUACUUGCAUUCAUUUAAUUGCCCCAAGACUUUUGUUUUUAUUUAUCUAUAAUGGUUGAACUUGAAUUAAUUUGGCUUGAAUAACAUUAUAGAAUAAAAAGUAUAAAUAAAAUUGACGAUAAUUAUCUUACAAAUACUUAGAUUAUCAGACACUACGUGAAUAAGUAUAAGAAAAAAAGUUCUUUAACAGACAAAGUAUAGGUGAUUAAUCUGUUUCAAAUAUUUUUUUAAAUAUAAAUUCAAACAUAAUAACGAUGCAUGUUGUCAAAAAAUUAUUAAAAAAAGAUAUGAGAAUAUCAUCAUCCAUUGUGCAUCUUAUUUCUAUAUAAAGAACCGAAACCAGGUGAUCGAAACAGAGGCAGAAGAUAUCAAAGAAUACCUUCGACUAAAAAAAAAAAACAUGAAGCCAAAGCAGGUUGUUGUUGUUGUCUCCUUCCUCCUUCCCCUCCUUGCUUUCCUCUCAGAUGGUGCUCCUGAGCGAGUUCUGGACGUAUCGCUGAACCCUCUUGAAGUAUAUCGUAAUUACUACAUCUUACCAGUAAUCACUGGCCCAGAAGGUGGUGGAUUGAAACUUGCCAAAACUGGCCACUCAGAGUGUCCUCUUACUGUCUUGCAAGAUAAAUCAGAAGUCAACAAUGGUAGAUCUGUCAAAUUCACCAUACCUGCUGGAAACACCUCUAUAAUCCGCAUAGGUACUCAUCAAUACAUUUUGAAUUUAAUUAUUUUCUUAAAAACUCUAGUGUUCUAUUACUGUUUUCAUAUGCUAUAGGUACCACCCUGGAUAUCAAGUUCGUAAAUAAGCCAGAGUGUGCAAAAUCGGGCAAAUGGGGGCUGUUGUAUGACCCAGAAAUCUACAGGUUUUGUGUGGUAAUUGAUGGUCCUGAUAGCACAUUUCAGAUUCAAAAACACAGAGCUGGGUACAAGCUUAUGUCCUGCAACAGUAGGACUUGUUACGAUAUUGGAAGAUUUGAUGCAGAGAACGGUGAGAGCGGAAGACGCUUGACUACGAAUGCGGCAGAACCGUUCGAGAUUGUGUUCGUACGGGCUCUUGUAGAUGAUUUUGAAGAUAAUAAGGUUAUUAAGUCUGUAGUUUGAAUCAAAUAUCUCCACAUGUUAAGUUAAUGCAAUUAUCAUAUGCUCUUUCUCUUGUGAUUUGCAUUACUUAAUAGUGAAUAAAUGAGAUAUUAAUUACUAUAAUUUCUUCUGUUACUUCUUUAUCUUUUUCGUUUCUUUUAAACUUAUCCAAACAAAAAUAUUUGCUUUAAAAUUCUAACUCUAACAUUCUUUCAAAAACAAUAAUUAUCCAUAUUAAUAUCACAACUACAUUGACAAUGGAAUCCACAACUAACGACUACAGCACAACACAGAAGAAAAAACAAUGGAGAUGAGAUAGACCUUACACGAGCAUGGAAGUGAUGAAAGAAACUCGAAGGUGGAGACAGAGAACAUGAUCCAAACGUUUAUAUAAGCCAAAAUAUAUCUUUAACAAUUUCUUUUGAUAAAUGGUUUUAUAAUUAUUUAUAUUGAUUCACUUCAAAUAUAUGAAACAAUAAAAUGAUAACAUUGUUUUUAAAAAGUUAUUAAAAUAUCAUGAUCUAUAUAUUAAUCAUUUAUACUAAAAUAUAAAAAUAAAAAUGAAAUAUUAUUGUAUUAAAUUAUGAAGUGUAAUAUUUGUUUAAGCAACAUAUCAUCUUAAAACAAAAGUAUUCUCAAAUAAAAGUAUUUGAAACCAUAUUAGGAUAUUAGUGAAACUUUUUUUUUUUGGCAUUUCAAAACUUUAUAAAUGUUGUCUAUAAGUAUAUGUUUUAAUUUAAUUUUUUUUAUUUUAAAAGUAAAAAUAUAAUUUAGAUAUAAAUUUAUUUGAUAGUUAAAAUUUUGAUAACUUAAUAUUUACCGUUUGAUCAAAUUCAUUUUCAUCAUCUUUAGAUGUUUAUAAAAUUCAGGUUAUAAAAUCGGUCAAAUGUUUUAGUUAAAUAUGUUAUUAUUUCGUUAAAAAAGGGUCAAGUAUCGAUUGUUAUGUUAAUAUAGUACAAGUUAGGGAAUGUAAUUUGUUUUAUUAUUGAAUGAGCUAAGGGUCAACUUGUCCUUUUUUUGGUUAAAUAGAUUAGAAUUUUUUUAACCUUUGGAUGUUCAAUAUGGAUUUUGAUAAUUAAUGUUCAAUUUGAUUAUUUUUUAUGAUGUUGUCUAAAUUGUAACAAAAGACAUUAGUAGUGUUUGAAUGAAUUGUUCAAUUUUUACUUAUGUGACCAGUUCAGAUUUGGUGUUAAUGUUGUCACAUUAUCAUCUUCAACCUCCUAACACAUCGGAAACCUUAACCACUACCAUUAGUUAUUGUGCCUCCAACAACUCAAGCUGCCUUCCUCUCUUUCCAACAUAUACACAAUGUCUUCAUGCUUUCAGCCACCAUGUUUGUCACUUGAAUUGUGCCUCCAUCAAAUCUACAACAAGUCCUUAAUUAUGAAACCUUAAAUUCUUUCGAACCAUUGAUCUCCAUGAACAAACUCACUUCACCAUAUCAGUCAUGCACGAAAGCCACUACUACACCUACAUCCUUGUCAAAAUUGUACGUUCUAGUCUUAUUUUUUUUCUCUUUCAGGUCUUGCAAUGGAGGUUGAACGCCGGCAAAAUUCUUAGUGGCGGUCAUAUCAAUGGCAAUAAACAUUGGAAUUUUCAUGGUUGUUGUGAGAUAAUCUCUUGACAUGGGUUUAGUAGUUACUCAUAUUAGACAUAUAUAAUUCAAAGCCUUUAUAUUUUGACUUAGUUAGUUAUUUUCAUUAUUCUUCAUUACUGUAUCUUUCCUUCUGUAUAAAAACUAUGCUUCACUGAUUUUAAUAAACGAGUGGACACAAUUUUACUUUCAUCUCUUUUCUCACAUUCUUUCCCUAUGUGUUCUUCUGCCUCUUUCUGCAUAAUUCUUCUACGUUCUAUUAGUGUUAUCAGGUAGCCUUGGUUAAGGAAGGGCCUAAGUUUUUCGUGCGUCUGGGUACAAUGUGGCUGGCCAAACGUGAUUAGAAGAAAGAUUGUUCUUGAGCAGAAAGAAGGUGGAUCAUGGUUGAUUUCUCUACGACAAAUCUCCCAAUUCUCACAAAAAAGAACUAGAGUAGGUGGAGCACAUAGAUGCGAGUCUUGUUCCGCGUUCAAGAUGUCAGCAGUGUGGUAGAAACAGUGGAGCCUGCAACUGAUUUCCAUGGCACAGAGGAUCAAAAGGAGGUGCUUAGAAAGAAAGAUGAUAAAACCUUGCUAAUUAUCCAUAAUUGCGUGGACGAUACGCAUUUUGAGAAGAUCCAAAAUGCGGCUACAACAAGAGAAAUGUGGAAUAUCUUGGUGUGUUGCCAUGCCGAAGGAGAAAAGAUCAAGAAAGUAAAGCUCCAAACGCUGAGGAGACAAUACGGGCUGCUGCAAAUGGAGGACAAUGACAGGUCAGUGAUUAUUUCAAUAGAAUCUUGACUCUUACAAAUCAAAUAAAAGGUAGCGGAGAAAAGUUCAGUGACUUAUUGAUAAUGGAGAAGAUAAUGAGGUCAUUACCUCGGCAGUUCGACUUUAUUGUUGUUGCAAACGAAGAAUUCAAAGAUCUUGAGAAGUUAAAGACCGAAGAGCUUCAAAGCUCCUUGGAGGCUUACAAGAUGAGGCUUCUAGAUAGAGAUCCCGUCAAACAUGAUGAACAGGCGUUGAAGGCUCAGCAUGUCAGAGGUGACAGAAAAAAGUUUAAGACUUGGAGAUGUAAACAUGUUGCACAAAGAAGAUGGAAGAACGAUAAUAGUGAUGAGCAAGAAGAAAGAAUUGAUUCAUCAGAGAGAAAAGUUCGUUUCAACAAGAAUUAUAAGAUGAAAGAUAGAAGAAACAUAUAAUGUUUCACGUGUCACAAAACGGGACAUUUUUCUUAUGAGUGUUAUUCAAACAAAGGUAAACAGAAUAAGAAAGAUCAGAACAAGGAGGCUCAUCUUACGAGAGAAGAGUCUGAUUCAUAACCUCUAAUUCUCAUGGUUACAAUCUCUUCCGAGAGCUCUGUGUCUUUGAACAAAUCGUGGUAUCUAUACUUAGGGUGCUCAAACCACAUGACUUAUAAUAGAGAAUGGUUUAUCAACUUAGAUUAAUCAAAGAAAAGCAAGGUUAGAGUUGCAAACAACAACACGUUAAGAGUUGAAGGAAUUGGAAAAGGAUGGGUUGCAUGAAACAGUAGAAAACGUUUUUCUUGUGCUAGAGAUGAAGUGUAAUUUGCUGAGUCUUGGUCAGAUUGUGGAAAAAGGCUUCACGGUGAUUAUGGGCAACAAUGGUCAAGCGAAAGUAUUUGGCAGAAGUAAGAAAUUGAUCUUGAGAAGCAAGAUCUCUUAAAAUCGUACUUUUCAGGUUUACAUGGAUAUGGUUGAGAACCUGCGUUGCUUGCCCACUGUGAAAGAAGAUGAGAACUGGAAAUGGCAUCUUAGGUUCGGGCAUCUAAAUUUUUGAAACUUACAGCAACUGAGCAAAAAGACAAUGGUUUCUGGUUUACCAGGUAUUAUCAUAUCAGAGAAAUCAUGUGAAUCCUGCAUUGUUGGGAAGUAAACCAAAAAAUCAUUUCAAGCACAAUUGGAGAUGAGGUCUAAAGACGUCUUGAGGCAAUUCAUUCAGACAUAUGUGGGCCACUAGAGGUACCAAUGCUGGCGGGAAACAGGUACUUUAUCACUUUCGUUGAUGAGUUCAGCCGAAUGACAUGGGUAUAUCUCAUAAAGAAGAAGAGUGAAGCUCUUAAGACACUCAAAAGAUUCAAAGAACAUGUAGAAAGAGAGACAGGAAGGCAAGUUAAAGCUCUCAGGACCACCUCAUUUUACUUCGAAAUCUUUUUUCAAGAAUGUGGAAUAGCUCACGAGGUGAUCGCACCUUACACACCUGAACACAAUGGCUUAGCGGAACGAAUAAACAUGACCAUAAUAAAUAUGGCCAGGUGUCUGCUAAAGGAGAAGGAAGUGCCACGCGAGUUGUGGGGAAAAGCGGUGUUUUGAGUCAACUUAAAUAUGAAUCGAAUGGACUUUCGACUUGACCUUUGUUUUGAGUCAACUUGACCUAACUAAAUUCAAAAUGAUUCGUUUUGACUUGAAUUUGAUUUAAUAGGCUUGACUUGGGUCUGAAUUGUGUUAUAUCAACCUUGGCUAAAACUUACUAAAAUAUAGAGCCAACUUAAGCUCAAACCAACUCAACUCGAUCUAAAACUUAUAUUAACUUGACUCGACUUGGCCUGCGAUGACUUUGUUUGACAUAGGAUUGAGCCAACUCAACUUAAUUUAAGCGAGGGUUGACUCAACUUGUUUAGACUCUUGUUGACUCGGUUCAACCUUUGAAAUGAAUUAACUUAAAUUGACCUUUGAUCCAACUGAGUUGGCUUGACCCAGGCUUAAGAUGACUUUACUCUACUUCAUUCUCUGACUCGAGCUACUUAACUCGACCUUUCUCUUGUUUUUGGUUUGAGUUAAAUUAACUCAACCUUUUACUUGAGCUAACUUGUAUUGACCUUAGCAUAAGAAUGCCCAUCUUGAAUUUUUGUUUGGACCUACUCGGCUCAACAUUUAGUUUUGACAAAUUCAACUCAAUCUUCAGCUUAAACUGACUCCACUAAUCCUAAGGCUCGGGAAAACUCACUUUGACUUUUUGACUUUGAUCAUUUUGGCUCAACCUUUGACUUUGAACUACUUACAUUGACUUUAUCUUUAGAAUCAGAAUGAUUUGCCCAAUCUUCAGACCAAUUUAACUUGACUUUAUUCUUUUAACCUUCAAUAGCUUGACUUUUGAUCUGAAUCGUCUCAAAAUCUAGAUCAACAUAUGUUAACCUUUAACACAAAAUUUCAUUUUUCACUUUUGAUUCAAACUAAUUCGAUUUAAUCUUUAAUUCCAACUAAAUAGGUUUAGUCUAUUUAGGACUAACUAGAUUUAACAUAAUUAAACUGAUUUGAUUAAACUUUUAUUCUGAGUCGACUUAACUCAAUGUUUGGUUCAUAUCAAUUCUUGAUUAACCUUUAGUCUAAAUUGAUUUUACUUUACUUUUUUUUUAGUUAGUUUGGAUUAACUUGGUUAUAAACUUUCUUGGUGCAUGUUUGGAUUAACUUGGUUAUAAACUUUCUUGGUUCAUAUGCACUUUUAGUUGUUCAAAAUUAAAAAAUUAUUUAAUCUAAAACUAAUUAAAUGAUAAAUUUAUUUUGAAAUAAAUUAAUUCAAAUAUAUAUUUAUGUAAAUUUGAAUUACUAAUAAAUUGAUUCCAUGAUUUGAAUUUUUUUUUUCAUUAUAAUACAAGAUGCAAUAACUAUUGUCGAAGCUUCUUUCAGAUCAUAAUGUCUACAUGUUUUGUUUAUUUAUGAAAGUUAGCAAUGAGAGGAUGUAUCUUGGGAUGGCUAUCACCAUAAAGGCUUAUUGAACACAAGGAUGUAGAUCUUUAAGCAAAUACGUCUCCCAUUUGGACACAAAACUAACCUCAUUCAAUAUAGUUAUUUAUAUUAAUUUAGCUGUAAAACAUACUAGAAUAUAUAUAUAUAUAUAUAUAUAUAUAUAUAUAUAUAUAUAUAUAUAUAUAUAUAUAUCUUACACUUCCAUAAUUAUUCACAGCAUAUUAGAAAAACGAGUUUAGUAAAUUUUGUUAUUGCAGUAAAGAUUGUUAUACAGAAAACAAAAGGUGACAUAUAUAUUAUAGCAUUGAGUAUAACUACCCUCUAAGUUAUGAAAAAGAACAAUCUAUUCAUCACUAUAAUUUAAAAGCUGAAACUAGUGCAAUGGAAAAUAUGCAAAACUAAAAAAAAAAAAAUUAUAACAACCUUAUUUCAUAAUAUAAAAGGCUAAAAAUUUAAGAGAGGGACCAGAAAAUAAGAUCAAGUAAGUAAAUCAAACAAGACCAGUAACUUGUUACAUGAUCACAACAAAAAGACCUUAGUACAGUAGAACAUGUUUUAUCCACACAAUCCAACCCUUUUUGAUGAAUCAUUUUCUAACACAGAAGAAUUUCAUAACAGUAUACAUAGCUAUUACCAUUUAUCUGCAAUUCAAAGAUCCUGUUUCCCUUGAUCAUCCUCUGCAAUGCUAACCACCCUUGAAACUUUGAUCUUAUCAGGUGACAACUUGGCCAUGGUGAGAGUAAGCACUCCAUUCUCUAACUUAGCCUUGAGAGAAUCAAAAUCCACAUUCUCUGGUACCUUGAACUGCCUCCAAAAUUUUCCAUAAGAUCUCUCCACUCUAUGCCAGUGAUCCCCUUCCUUCUCCUCCUCCUUCUUCCUUUCUCCACUCACUCUCAGCACUCUAUUACCCUCAAUUUCUAUCUUUAUCUCAUCUUUCUUCAACCCUGGCACGUCGAUCAUUAUAACAUGUCCCUCUGGUGUCUCCUUCCAAUCUACUCGCGCAGGUGACACAGCCAUGGAUGCCUGAUCUUUGCCAACCCCAAAUGGGAUUUGCUCCAACACACGAUAUGGAUCAAGGAAACGAUCAGACCAUAUGUCAGCCCAGAGUGCACCAGGACGAUCUGUUAAUGGUUGCAGAUACCCUUUUGCCUUGGAUGGAAAACCAGCAAGAACAAGCAAGAUCAGUGGCACUAGCACUGAGUUUCUCAUUUGUGUUUUGAAAUGUGAGAAUGGGUGCUCACAGAUGAAUUGGAGAAUUCAGAGAAACGGAUUGUGUGUUUGAUUUUGGCUAUAUCUGAAGUUUGUUUUGAAACUGGUUGAAGAUAUAAGGUAGAUGUUGGUUCUAUAUAUACAGGGAGAGAGAGUGUGGCAAAGGGUUAACGUUGUUCUUGAAACAUCAAUGGUGAAAUCGAAGUGUCAUAGUAUAAUGUAGAGAAAAGAAGAAGGUUCUAGUUUUUGAUAAUUGGAAGAGGAAAAGAGGGUUCUGGAAGUGAAAGAGGUGCAAGAAUGUUCCAAAGUGUUCCAGUGGUUUCUUUUUGUUAAACAACAAACCUCUCUUUCACUGUCACGAAAUGAUAGUUUGGUCGGACUAAAGACAUUUUUAAUUUUAUGGUAAUAGAAGAAAUUUUAGUACAGAAUUAUAUAUAUAUAUAUAUAUAUAUUUCUUAUACGAAGUAAUUAAGAUUCAAAUUUUGUACGUUUUCAACAAAUUUUUAGUCAUCAAUAGUACUUGUUUUUAUUGUAAUGAUUCUAACUUGGUUUUGUAUAUAUUUUUUAUAUUACAAGUCAGAAUUCGGUCCCUAAGAGUCGAAUGUUUACACUCUUCUUCAAUAACAUCAGUCGAGAUACCAGUCGGAACUUGGUUUCUGAGGAAUCUAAUUUCUCCUAGUUUUGUAUUUUUUAUUUGGAAAAUAAAAUUUUAACACCAUUUUUUGACACCAUUUUGACACUGUACACGUGUCAAAAUGUGAUUGGACGAUUUCAAAUUAAAAAAGUUGAGACAAGGGUAUAUUUGGAAGAGAAAAACCAAAGUUUUUUUUUUUAAUUUGAAAUCGUUCAAUCACAUUUUGACACGUGUGCAGUGCCAAAAUGGUGUCAAAAAAUGGUGUCAAAAUAUCAUUUUCCUUUUUAUUUAUUAUAGGUCAUAAUUUGGUUUCUCGAGAGCUGAAAUCUAACCUUUUUUUCGUUAACAUUUUUUUCGUUAACAUUGGUUGAGUGACUAUUCGGAAUAUUGGAAGUCUCAUAUCCAUUAGAGAUAAGGUCAUAUAAGUCGAUUUUGUGGAAUUGAGUUAGGCUUAUAAUCCACUUUUUAUUUCAGAACUCGAUUCUCGUCGAAUCGAUUUCUAAAUUGGUUUUUACUCUUUUUUUUUUAGAUUAAAUAUGUUUUUGUUCUUUUAUCGAUUUCUAAAUUGGUUUCUACUUUUUUUUAAGAUUAAAUAUGUUUUUGUUCUUUUAACUUUUAAUGAAAAUUAAAAUUAGGUUUUUUUUUUUUAAUUUUAGACUGAUUUAGUCUCUUAUCUUUGUGUGAAUUUAAUCCUUUUAAUCAAAUUUUGUUAAAUGUGUUUCUCAACUAAUAUUAAAGAAAAAGUNNNNNNNNNNNNNNNNNNNNNNNNNUUUUAAUCAAAUUUUGUUAAAUGUGUUUCUCAACUAAUAUUAAAGAAAAAGUAUGUCAAAUAUUGUAAACAACUCAAAUAUUAUUAUGAAAUGUUGUUAAUAAUCUUAACAAAUUUUGGUUAGAAUGAUUAAAUUCAUACAUUUCUAGAGUUAAAAGACUAAAUUAGGUCAAAGUUUGAAAGAGAAAUUAAUUCAAAUUUUCAUCAAAAAUUAAAGGACCAAAAUCAUAUUUAACUCUUUUUUUUAUUAGAUGUCAGAAUUUGAUCCUCGUGAACCUGAAUUCAAACCUUCAUUUUUGUGAACAAUCGGGCUACUAGUAGGAAGUCAGUUCUCAAAUAACCGAAUUUGAAGCUAGUUUAUUAUUUUUCUUUAUUACAGUUCAGAAUUCGGUCCCUGAAGAGCCAAAUUCCAGCCUUCUUUUUUUGUUAACAUUGGUUGGGUUACUAGUUAGAACUCAAUUCUCAGGAAACCAAUUUUCAAGUUGGUUUUUUACUCUCUCUUUAUAAAUUUCAUUAAAAUAAAUAGAGGAAGGGAAAAAAAAGAAGUUAUAUGUUUUUGAAAUGAGAAAAUAUUUACUUAUAUGUUUAAAUUUUGUUAAAUUAUACUUUAGAAAUAAUUUGUUUCAUUUUCAUUUAUUUAGGGGAUGAGAAUAAAAAUUAAAAAAAUGUAUAAGUAUAUAAAACAGAUAAAAAUUUCAUUACUCUUAUUUAAACCAUUUCAAGUUUGUCAUAAAACAGAAAUAGAAAUUUCAUUACUCUAACUUGAACCAUUAUAAGGUUGUCAUAAAACACAAAUAAAGAAAAGGAGAUUACAUUUGUUUACUUACAAAACAUCUCAAAGACUAACAUUAGUCACUCCAUCAUCAUCAAUGGAUGAUGGACCACAAACAUAGUCAAACUUCUCAACCUUCAUGAAAUUCACAUAAACUCCAUGAAGACCAUUAUUGAAUGUCAAUAAAUCACAUGUUGAACAUCUUCUUCAAUGUUUAAGAAAACAAAGUCAGAAGUUCCUUCUUCAACAAAUUAGGGAGGGAUAUGGUACUACAAAUGAAUUAACUCUAGCUCUCAUUAUCCCAAUAAAUGACUUCUAAUGAUACAACACAUAUGGCUUAUAGUAACCCCAUUUGGAAAAGUACAAAAGACAAACAUUUCAUCUUCAAAAUCUAUAAUAGCAUUAGAGGAUUUGAAAACAUUCAUCUCCUGAAGAAAAAACUAUUAUUACUUCUUCUUUUAAACAACUCCACAACUUCUAAACAUACUACCAACAUUCUUUUAUGGUAUUGAAUUAUUAACCAUGAGAAGCCAACUAAGCCUUGUUUGGAAAUUUCUCAUCAGACAAUUCAAUUUUGAUUAGAUUGGACUAUGAACUUGAUAAGACUUCACUUGUUAGCUUUAUUGGGUAAGAGUGGAAAAGACUCAGUCUUUCAACGAAUGCAUGUGAGUAGCUCCAUGUGAGUAUUGUGUGAGCUCGGGUUAGAGGUAUAUGUUGUUUGUUAGGGCUAGGCUUUUUUUAGCCUUGUAUGGGCUUUGUUCAAAGCAUGCUCCUCGAGUGGGUGUCCUUGAGAGGAUUCCUUGCGGUGAGUAGCUUGAUGGAAUGGAUGGUUCUUAGAGUGUCAAAGUUAAAGGACAGAUGUUUCUGAGUAGAGAACUCCGUGAACUAUGUUUGGGUGUGAUUGUGUGUGUAGGGUCUUUGGAGUGUUAAAGCCACAAGACAUGUUUCUUUUGAUAGAGAAUUAUGUUGACUGGUGUUUAAUACUUGGUUCUUAAGUGUUGAGGAUAGAGGAUGAAUGUCUUUAAACUGAGAACUCAAUAAAGUGAUACUUGUUAUUGAGGGUCUUUGGAGUAUCAAAGUUAGAGGACGAAUUUCUCUAGGCAAAAAAGUCUAUUGAUUGGUGUUUGAUACUCAGUUCUUAAGUGUUGAGGUUAGAGGAUAAAAGUCUCUAGACCAAGAGCCUUUAGAGUGUCAAAGUCAGAGGACGAAUGUCUCUAAACUUAAAUUUGGGUGUUACAAAUGGACUUAAAUUGGGAUUUCUCCAUUGAUUGAAAUUGCCACAUCUUUUUCCUCUAAAAUAUGUGUUGUGGGAAUUUAUUGUCAUGUGUUAGAAUCGUGUAAUAGAAUGUUUAUGUUGGAUAAAACUAAGAAGGGGAGUGAAUUGGUUUAUUAAUAUAAAAUUGUACUUUUAAAAAAAAAAAUCCCCUUUCUAAGAUCAAAGUUCAAUUAAUAUCUUUUCUUUUUUAAGAACAACAAAAUUUAAAGAUUGAAGAUUAUGCAAGGUAUUUUAUAUUGGUUCUGGUAAAAAGACUUUAUGUACAAUUUUUAAUCUCUCUAAAGAGAGAUUAACUCAAAUAAUAAAAUAAACCAAAUUUAUAAUCAUAAAAAGAAAAAGCUUAAGGUUUAAAAACUCUUGAAGACAUAAUAGAUGAAAGACAUUUUCUUUGAAUCACGCAAGGAAUAAACCACCUCCUUUGAGUCACACAAAUGAACAACUUCUCCUACCAACGGUAGUCAAUACCCAAGAAUCCACUUAGUGAAAGUUAUCGCUCUACUCAUACUAAGUUUUUCAAAACCCCUUUUCACAAACAUAAAGUUUCUCUAACAAUCACGACUUUAAACCUUCGAAUGAAAAAAUUGUUUUCAAAAUUAGAUUUAACCAAAUAUAUAAACUUUUUCUUUUUAAAAUUAGAUCAAGAACCUAAAGUGUCAAGUCAAAAUUGUCGUUAAUAAUUGAUUAUUUUAAUUUUAAAAAAUAACUUAUUAUCACAUUAGCUUUUCUAAAAACUUUUUAUUAUUAUGAUAAUCAAUUACCAUAAGUGAGUAAUCGAUUAUCACAUAAUCUUUUAUGAAAUCUUCAUUUCAUUUAAAUAACCAAUUAUCAUUCAGGUUAUAUGAAAAAUAUAAUCUUCGAUAAAUUGUGCAUGCUGUGAUCCUAUAAGCAGCUUACAUAUAAUUUAUUCACUAGUAUAAAACCUAUUACAAAAAUUUAAUCACAUAUUUAAUACUGGUCUUUAUCAUCUUCUUUUGCCAGCAUCGUGGUCAUCACAUAAUUAUAUUAAACUGAAACGGUAAGGAAAAUUCUCUCUACUACUUUAUUGUUUUUGUUAAGUACCUCUCCUUUAUCUACGUUUUAUUAAUAAGACCAAUGAUGUAAGUGAAAUAUUCAUCUCAAAUUUGUCAUAAUAUCUGUGCAUUGAUUGCUAUUUUGAUUUUUUUUUUAUUUUCUUUAUUCCUUUUUAUGAUAAGUUUAAAAUUUUCCACACAUUUUUAACAAUUUUGUAAUUCAUAAUUUUUCCGAAAUAAAAUAAUCUACUCCUUGUAAGGGAUAGUAUCAAUUUAUCUUUCCUUUUAUUUUUUUCGUUAGCUUCAAAUUUUGGAAGUCUUUAAAUGGUAAGUUAUUAACAACUCCUUAUAUUUAUAAUCAAGUUUUCCAUUUAGUUGGAAUCCGACCAUAUAAUAUUAUAAUCUAUUAUCAUAACUCCCUCUUGUAAUCUAUUUUUUAUGACUACGAAAACUCUUGUUUCUCACUGACUAUAAUUUUUUUUUCUAUCUAUCUAUUUUUUAACUCACUCUCUCAAGCUUACAAUAGCAAUUAAUGUCACAUCUAAUAGUUCUGAUACCGACCAUUACAAUACUAGAAUAAAAUUUACACUCAAUCAAAAGCAUGAAAUAAGGAAUAGAACUUCUUAAAACAUGAUUUAAUAAAUCAUCAUUUCUGGUGUUACGGAAUAUACGUAAAAGUCUUUAGACAGGCUUCAUAAAAUACAUUAAAUAAUUAAAAUAAAUAAGAAAAUUAUGGCUACCUCUUAAAUCUAAUGGAAACCCAUAAAUAAAGGGGAACAAAAUAAGAUGAAUUGGUAAAACUGGAUUAGUUUAAAUAAAGCUUCAAGACAAACUUCAGAUAUAGCCAAAAUCAAACACAAUUUGUUUCUCUCAAUUUUCCAAUUCUUUUGUCGUACCAAAACAGGAGGCACAUACACAUUUCAAAACAAAAAUGAGAAACUUAGUACUUGUACCACUGAUCUUGCUUGUUCUUGCUGGUUUUCCAUCCAAGGCAAAAGGGUUUAUGCAACCAUUUACAGAACGUCCUGAUGCACUCUGGGCUGACAUGUUGUCUGAUCGUUUCCUUGAUCCAUUUCGUGCGUUAGAGCAAAUCCCAUUUGGGCUUGGCAAAGAUCAGGCAUCCAUGGCUGUGUCACCUGCACGAGUAGAUUGGAAGGAGACACCAGAGGGACAUGUUAUAAUGAUAGAUGUGCCAGGGUUGAAGAAAAAUGAGAUAAAGAUAGAAGUGGAGGGGAAUACAGUGCUGAGAGUGAGUGGAGAAAGGAAGAAGGAGGAGGAGAAGGAAGGGGAUCACUGGCAUAGAGUGGAGAGAUCUUAUGGCAAAUUCUGGAGGCAGUUCAAGUUACCAGACAAUGUAGAUUUUGAUUCUCUCAAGGCUAGGUUAGAGAAUGGAGUGCUUACUCUCACCAUGGCCAAGUUGUCACCUGAAAAGACCAAAGCUUCAAGGGUGGUUAACAUUGCAGGGGAUGAUGAGCUCAAGCAAGAUCUUUGAAUUAUUAAUAAAUGAUAAUAACUAUACUCCCGUGGACUUUUUGUGUGCUAAUAAAUGAUCGAUAAAAAAAAAGGGUAUGUACUCUGGGCAAGGAUUUUGUGGAUAAAAGAGUUCUACAAAAGAUCUUUGCUUGUUAUCAUGUAACACUGGUCUUGUCUGAUUAGCUUGUUGAUUUUAUUGUGGUCUAACUCAAAUUUUAGCCUUUGAUUAUUAAAUAAAGUAGUAAGGGAAUGACAAGAAAAUACAUAACAAAGUACGAGGUCCAUUAGUGGAGAAUGUGUUAUCCAUUUGUUAAAGCUUUCAAAAUCUUCGCUUCCAUCAAGACAAUGUGAGACAUACUUAAAACAGAUAUGACAGAUUAUGUCACCACAUGAUGUACAAAAUAUAUAUUCUAGCAUUCAAUAUCAUUUACACGGGUUAAACUGCAAACCUUUGGUCGUAUAACGUGGCUGAAGCAUUUUGUCAUGUUUGCAUAAGAAUCAGAUAUACUAAAGCAUUCUUCAAUUACAUCUUUCAGAGAAACGAAAUUCAAAGAUUGUGGGUAUGUCUUCCCUUUGUAGUUUAUGUUGCCAAAAAACAGCCCAGGAAUAAAAAAACUGGACUAGGUUUAGACAGCAUGUUGAUAUGAUACAGUGGUCAAACCAAAAUAAAUAAAAUAUAGACAUGGCUGGUUUUUUCCUUCUGUUUCUCUGUUCUUGAUAAAUCUUUGGAGUUGCGAGGACACAAGAGAAUAAUUACGUCAUACAAUUUGGUGUCACUAGAAAAAUCCUUGGUCAUGUGAUGUGGCUGUUUUGCAAGGUCAGCACUGGCUUUUGUCAAAAAUUUGGGUUUCAAUUGAUUUUUCUUUUGUUUAAUCCUCCAAAUGUAGUAUGGUGAGUUCAAAACUGUUGAGGUCACCAGGACUACAGAUCAACCACGACUUCAUUUUUAAAACCAACGAGACUUUCCAAGAGCCCGUACAACUCUUCUAUCUUUGGAUUCGAUUCGUCAAGAGAAUAGAACUGAUGAACCUGGUCAUCAACCUCAAUCCAACUGCACCCUGGAACUUUAUAAGACUUUUGCUGCUUCAGUGUCCUCCUCAAAUUCCUCACUUCAUCCCACCGUCCCAACUCCCCGUAUACAUUGGCCAACAUUAUACCGUAACCUCCAUUGUGUGGAUCUUUUUCAAGCAGUUUUUUGGCCGCAAAUUCAGCCAAAUCAGUCCGGCCGUGCACCUUACAUCCAUUAAGCAAAGAACCCCACACAACCUCAUCUGGUUCCAUGCUCAUACCAUUGACAACUUCCAUUGCCUCAUCAAACCUCCCUGCUCGACCAAGAAGGUCUAUCAAACACCCGUAGUGCUCGAUCCUCGGCUCUAUCCCAUAUUCCCGACCCAUCAUCUCAAAAUAUCUAUAACCCUGCUCAACCAAUCCACCAUGAGUACAAGCAUUCAACAAACCAAUGAAGGUGACCUCAUCCGGUCUCACGCCACCACCAGACCCCACCAUUUGCUCAAAAAUGGCAAUUGCACUCUCACUCUGCCCGUGCAACGCAAAACAGUUAAUCAUCGAGUUCCAUGAAGUCAACCCCUUCUCCGGAUUCAUCCCAAAAACCUUCCUUGCUUUUCCAAGGCUUCCACAUUUCCCAUACAUAUCAACAAGGGCAUUCGAGACAAACGAGUCCCAUACAAACCCAUUCUUGUACACAAAACCAUGUAUCCAUCUCCCAAGCUGGAGCAUCCCCGUGUGGCCGCAAGCCGAAAGUGCACAGACCACAGUAACCCCAUUCGGCAUAUUACGCUCCCAAACCAUUCUCUUAAACAACUCAAUCCCCAGAGUGAAAGCCCCAUUCUGGGCGCACCCAGCAAUGAGAGCAUUCCAAGACGGCACAUCUCUCUCGGGCAUCUGAUCAAACACCCUCACCGCACUCUCAACAUCCCCCACCCUAGCAAACCCAGAAACCAUAACGGUAAAAGACACCACAUUUCUCUCGGACAUUUCAUCAAACACCUUCUUUGCAUCCGGCAACCCACCGGAAACCUUGGAGUAAGAGUCAACCAGCGCCGUUUGCACGACAGGGUAGUGGAGAAACCCGGAUUUAACGAUCUGGGCAUGCAGUGAAUCAACGGCGCAUGAGUCCGGACAUGCUUUGAGCGCGUGGGGAAAGAUGAAUUGGUUGGGGCGGGCGGUCUGAGAGCGUAGCAUGUGGCGGAAGAGGAUGAGGACGGAGGAGUGGUUGGAAGGAUGAGAAGCGUAGGCGGUGAUGAUUGCGGUGAAGAGGUGGGUGUUGGGGGACGGGUGGUGGUGGAAGAUGAGGCGUGCAUAGGAGAGGUCGGAGAGAGCGAGGGCGCAGAAGCGAAGAAGCUUGAAGGCGUAGAAGUGGGUAUGGGCGUGGCCAAGAGUGGUGAGGUAACCCUGAAGUUGCUUCAGAUGAUUCAGAUGAUUGCACUUGCUCAGUGUUUCCAAUACAUGUUCGUUCAGGUUUCGCUUCAUUUGCUUGUUUUCUUAAGACGAAGAACAUCAAAUACUUAUAAAACACGAGUUCGUGAUACUGUGUUUGAUCAACACCAAUCACAUUUGAUAUGUUAUGAGUAAAUUUUGGGAUAAAUAUCUAUUUAGUAACAAAAUUAGAAUUUGUGUUUGGUGUAAAUAUUGAUAUAGUUUUGCCUCUAAAUUUUAAAAUCAAAUAGAUAUAACAAUGUAUUUUAAAUUCUUUUAAUAUAUUAAAUGUCUUUAAAAAUAGUAUUUUGAGUUGUUUAUAUUUAUACCAUUUAUAUAUGUUUUAGUUUAAAUGUUAAUACGAAGUAUUUAGUUUUUUAUUAAUCUAUUUAAGUGAGAAUAAUAUGUUUCUAAUGGAUAUUAGUCUCUCUUUUUUUGUCUCGUGAAUUGCAUUCACAAAUUCGUGUUCGAAAAUUCGUUAUGUAAUUUUACAAAGAACUGUGACAUAUCAUCUAAUAAUAUAAUAAUAGACUUAAAGUUGUUGGUCUUUCUUAACAAAAUAAGAAACAACCAAGAAUAAAUUUAUACAAAUAAAAUUAAAGAACAAAAUAUGUAUAAACUUUAAUAUAAAAUGAAGUGAAAUUGAUGGUAUAUUUUCUUCAAAAUGUAUUCGUCUUAAGUAGUGAGAAGGAUGGGAAGGAGAAAACAAACAUACAUAAAAGAAAUGUCAUGGGAAAGAAAAAGAUAAAUAGAAAAAUACAAAAAGAUUUAUAAUAAAAAAAACCUUUAAAAUUAUUAUAUAUAUUGUGCAUUUUUCUUAAAUUUGAGAUAUUUGAUGAAACUAUCCCCUCCUCUUUCUUUGCUUUAGAAAAUUAUCUAGAUAAAGAAAUAGAAAUAUGAGUUUUACAGCGCAUAUUAUGAAUCGAAUAGUCAGUGUUCAGCAUCGUCGCUUGGUGCAUUCUCUUAAUGCAUUCUCUUUAGCAAUUAGGGCAAAUGUAAAGCCCUUAAAAUUUUAAGGCUAUUGGGCCUCAGGGAAAGCAGCCAAGCCCAUCAGAGUUAGCUCUUGGUCUUGAGAGGGGUCUUUCCCUUAGUCAGCAUUUUCAUUUCUGCAUUUUCCCUCUCUCUCUAAAAGAAGAAGUUCUUAUGCCCUAACCAAGUUCCUCCAUCUUCUCUCUAAAAUUCCAGAAAUCUGAAUCGUGCAAAUUUUAAUUGAGUGUUGCCAAACCCUUCCUGGCGGAGAAGGCUUCCAUUUGAACCGAACACUUCUCAAUUUCAGUUGGUAAGUAAGUUUCCUCUUUUCCCUCUACUGUCCUAACCUAAGGCAACCAAUUUUUUCUGGUUGCAUGUACUUUCCAUAUUGUCUUUUCCUUCCAAUUUGUUCCAGCUCUAAAAAUGUUGUUUCUAUCAUCAAAAUUGGUGAUUUAUAGGUCCUGUCCUGUUCAGCACAGUGUAAGGGUUACUAUUGGAGCGUUUCCUGAAUUUUUAGUUGUGAGUUUUCGAGGUAAGGGGAGCUAAUUGUUUUGUUUGAAUAUAUUUUAUAAAAUAUAUGCAUGUUGAUUUCUUAAACUGAUGUGUUGAUUUGAACUGAUAUUUAUCUGUUUGGUAUGAACUGAAGUUUGAAAAUGAUGAAUUUAUUGACUGGGAAAUUGUGCUUAAAUAUUGUGUGUUUAAAUAUUUGACAGGUAUAUGUGGAUUGAAUAUAUAAGUUAUCUCUCUUUGAAUUGAUUUGCUGAAAUUGGUCUUUGAUUUGGGGUGGUGUGUAUGUGUGAGACCUAAUGAAGAGAGCAAGGGAGAAUUGCUUGGGAGCUACGUGUUGGGUGUGUGUGAUCAUGGAUGAAGAAGAUGAAAGAAAAUUGGUUGCAGUGACAGGAUUGAGGUGCAAUUCUUAAAUANNNNNNNNNNNNNNNNNNNNNNNNNNNNNNNNNNNNNNNNNNNNNNNNNNNNNNNNNNNNNNNNNNNNNNNNNNNNNNNNNNNNNNNNNNNNNNNNNNNNNNNNNNNNNNNNNNNNNNNNNNNNNNNNNNNNNNNNNNNNNNNNNNNNNNNNNNNNNNNNNNNNNNNNNNNNNNNNNNNNNNNNNNNNNNNNNNNNNNNNNNNNNNNNNNNNNNNNNNNNNNNNNNNNNNNNNNNNNNNNNNNNNNNNNNNNNNNNNNNNNNNNNNNNNNNNNNNNNNNNNNNNNNNNNNNNNNNNNNNNNNNNNNNNNNNNNNNNNNNNNNNNNNNNNNNNNNNNNNNNNNNNNNNNNNNNNNNNNNNNNNNNNNNNNNNNNNNNNNNNNNNNNNNNNNNNNNNNNNNNNNNNNNNNNNNNNNNNNNNNNNNNNNNNNNNNNNNNNNNNNNNNNNNNNNNNNNNNNNNNNNNNNNNNNNNNNNNNNNNNNNNNNNNNNNNNNNNNNNNNNNNNNNNNNNNNNNNNNNNNNNNNNNNNNNNNNNNNNNNNNNNNNNNNNNNNNNNNNNNNNNNNNNNNNNNNNNNNNNNNNNNNNNNNNNNNNNNNNNNNNNNNNNNNNNNNNNNNNNNNNNNNNNNNNNNNNNNNNNNNNNNNNNNNNNNNNNNNNNNNNNNNNNNNNNNNNNNNNNNNNNNNNNNNNNNNNNNNNNNNNNNNNNNNNNNNNNNNNNNNNNNNNNNNNNNNNNNNNNNNNNNNNNNNNNNNNNNNNNNNNNNNNNNNNNNNNNNNNNNNNNNNNNNNNNNNNNNNNNNNNNNNNNNNNNNNNNNNNNNNNNNNNNNNNNNNNNNNNNNNNNNNNNNNNNNNNNNNNNNNNNNNNNNNNNNNNNNNNNNNNNNNNNNNNNNNNNNNNNNNNNNNNNNNNNNNNNNNNNNNNNNNNNNNNNNNNNNNNNNNNNNNNNNNNNNNNNNNNNNNNNNNNNNNNNNNNNNNNNNNNNNNNNNNNNNNNNNNNNNNNNNNNNNNNNNNNNNNNNNNNNNNNNNNNNNNNNNNNNNNNNNNNNNNNNNNNNNNNNNNNNNNNNNNNNNNNNNNNNNNNNNNNNNNNNNNNNNNNNNNNNNNNNNNNNNNNNNNNNNNNNNNNNNNNNNNNNNNNNNNNNNNNNNNNNNNNNNNNNNNNNNNNNNNNNNNNNNNNNNNNNNNNNNNNNNNNNNNNNNNNNNNNNNNNNNNNNNNNNNNNNNNNNNNNNNNNNNNNNNNNNNNNNNNNNNNNNNNNNNNNNNNNNNNNNNNNNNNNNNNNNNNNNNNNNNNNNNNNNNNNNNNNNNNNNNNNNNNNNNNNNNNNNNNNNNNNNNNNNNNNNNNNNNNNNNNNNNNNNNNNNNNNNNNNNNNNNNNNNNNNNNNNNNNNNNNNNNNNNNNNNNNNNNNNNNNNNNNNNNNNNNNNNNNNNNNNNNNNNNNNNNNNNNNNNNNNNNNNNNNNNNNNNNNNNNNNNNNNNNNNNNNNNNNNNNNNNNUAAUCCUAACUUAAGUACCUUAACACUCUAACUGCUUUAUUAUAUCAUCUAUGGUGACGUCUUGAUUUUUAUAUACAUGUAUGUUAUAAAAUAGGGAUGUCACAUUUAUGGUAUCAGAGCAGUUUCUUUCUUAGGAAUAUCCCUUAGGUUGUGUGUGUGUCAUGCUCUUGUCUGUGUACUCUUAGCAUUUCCAAAUAAUUGCCUUAUUUCCUAGAUUCGAUUGAUGUUCUGUUUAUCUUUGUGAAACGAUACCAUGACACCUAUACUUCCACCUCCUCCACCUCCUCAAAAUGAACCCUCUAAGUCCAACGCAAGAUUGGAAGCUGUGCUUGAGGCUCUUCAGCAGCAGAAUACUGCUCUUGUGCAACAAAAUACUGUUGCCCUCCAAAACCUAGAAGUUGCUAGAAUAGCCGCUGAAAAUGCCAGGAUAUCAGCCGAGAAUGCUAGAAUGGAGUCUGAUCACACCCAGAGGUAGCUGAUGGACACGUUGGCCUGAGGCAUACCCACUCAGGGUGCUACCUCCUCUGUUGCCCCAGUUCAAGAGUGGACUUUGGAGAGCUUUCUCCAACACCAUCCUGCCAGGUUCAACGGCAAAUGCAGCCCAGAUGAAGUCGACCAUUGGUUCCAAGACAUGGAACGUAUUUUUGAGGCAAAGGGGUGUCCAGAUGAUAGGAAGCUGGCCUAUACUCAAUAUCUCCUGACAGGAGAAGCUGGCCAUUGGUGGAACAGCAUGAGAGCCAUCCUUGAGAGACGUGGAACUCCUAUUACUUGGGAGUUAUUCAAGACCAAAUGCUACACAGAAUACUUCCCUGAUAGUGUCCGCUUUGCAAAAGAAGUGGAGUUUCUUGAGCUAACACAAGGAAACAGGUCGGUGACUGAAUAUGUCGACCGUUUUAAACACCUUCUUCGCUUCAGCACGGUGCAAGUGAAUGAAGAUUAGCAGUGCCGGAAGUUUGAGAAUGGUUUGAGGAAGGAUGUCAAGCUUAUGGUGAAGGGAUUACGCAUCCGAGAGUUUCCCACCUUGGUGGAAAUGGCUAGGGACAUGGAGAAAACCAAGGGAGAACCUGAAGUGCAGCAGAGCCAGAGAGUCCAACCACUGAGGGUUGGCGGACCAGUAGUAUCCAGAGGGGGAUCCAGUUCCAGGACGAUCCCUUUCUCUAGGCCCACGUCUUUUGGGUCCAGGGAUUCCUCCUCCUCACAGCCUUCAUUGCAGCAGGGGCAGUCCAGUUACAUCAGCCCAGUUCGAUGCUACAUGUGUGGAGGACCACACCUCCAGUCUGUGUGCCCUC